rnacentral:lncRNA from 1 species
CAAAUACAUCACAAAAUAAACGGCAAAGGGGGUAGAGGAAUUCUGGGUUCAAAACCUUAUUUAUUUCACUAACUAAUGCUUGAUAAAAAGUACACAUCUACAAACAACGAUUUGCAUUAUUCUACCUUCCAAGAUAUCCCAAGCUUGUGCAAAAGUUGCAGCAGUAGAAAUUUUAUCAAAGUUUGUAUCAUCUACACUUUGAUGUAUUAAAAACAAUUCUGGGUUGCAUCAUAAUCGAUUUAAGUAUGUUCCGUUACUUCUUGGAAAUCAAACAACGCCUUCAUAUGAACAUGUCACUGAUCCCAAUUGUUGACAUAACUUUUGCAGUUGCAAGGAAAUUAUCAUUGAAACUCACAUAUAUAUAUAUAUAUAUAUAUAUAUUUUGUGCCCUAAAUUUUGGAGACCCAACUAUGUAGAGUUGUUUACACCCUUUAGGGACGACUCUAAAUGAGAAUGUCUAUUAUGAGAUUAAUAUGAUCACAAUACUAAAGAAUCUUAUUGUUACAUCACUUAUUUAUAUGAUAGUAUUUUUUUUAAAAGGAUAAAAAUGAAAUAAAAGAAUUAUGACUAUUUUAUUCAGUCCACUUUCUAAACAAUAUAAUGAGAAAUUUGUAUUGUCUGUCAUGAAACUAAUAACUAAACAGAAAUAAAAAUUGUGUUCCAUUACAACUUGUUCACGCCACUUUAUUUCAUUCCAGUUGCAUUAUACAAACUGUUAAAACUUCAAUCUGGUUCAUUGACACUAAAGCAUAACAAAUAGAAGACACAUUUAGUGAAUCCUUACAACAAAAGGACAAUCCAAAUAUAACAUAUUUUUCAAUAAUAAUGAUAACCAAUACAGUAAUUUCCCAAAAGAGAAACAUAUACCCCUUGUGUACUACGUGAUGAUCUUGUUACUACAGAAAUGCCUUCAAUUAAUGAAUCAUUUGGAUCAAUAUCAGCUAAAAGGGGUAGAUCAACUGCCAUAGAUUCUAGACUCACACCUUCAUCUCUCAGUUUUUUUAUUACUUCCUCAAACACAAAUUGAUUCCCUCCAUUAGUGAGAUGCAAACCGUCACUGCAUUUAAGUAUAAUAAUCAUAUCAAAACCAAAACUAUAAUACCAUAGACUAGUAUCACAAUAUUUGAUUAAUUGGUACUUUAAAUUAAAUGGUAAAUGCUAAUAUCAAGAUUCCAAAGUAUUGUAAGAGAAGAUAAAUAAAGAAGGUAAAUUUUUUGGAAAUUAAACCUUAAGUAAACUUUUUCCCAUCCAAGGAACCGUUGCAUUUUAGUCCAGAGAUCAAUGAAAGGAAUUUGACACUCAUUGGCCACAGAAUGCAUGCUUUAGCAUAUUCACCAGCAGCUUCAUUUGUCCAUUCAGGAAGCCCCUCAGGAUUGUUAACUCUUAUUUUAAAAGAUGGUCUCGUUAACUCUUCAUUUAUGCUUAUCUCUCUUAUGAAUGAACAAUAAUAAACAAAAAUAAAUUUUAAAAGAUGGUCUUGUUAACUCUUCAUUUAUGUUUAUCUCUCUUAUGAAUGAACAGUAAUAAACAAAAAUAAAUAAUUGAAGAAAUCCGAACUUGUUACUACCGACAUAAGUUACCUUAAAAAAGGAGACAAUGGAGCGAAGGUUGUCCUUGUAUUCAUGUAGAGGAACAUGUUGAAAAACAUAGCAUCUAUUAGGAAGACAAGCAUCAUUUGCCCCAAAAAAUAUUGUUAAAGCAAUUGGAGCAGUUUCGGUUCCCCGGUCGCUGCCAUGUGACACCGGAAAAACCUUUUCCAACACUUUCAGUGCCCAUCGUGUGUUAUACCCACGAUACCCUCUGAACAUCACAUCAGCCUGUCACACGAGCUCAUUUGAUUAAAAAAAACCUCAAAAAGAUUUUGAGAAAAUCACUUUUGAUAUUUUAAUUUGGGGUACGUUUGUUUCAGCUUAAAAAAAAUAGAUUUUGAGUUAAAAGAAUCUAUAGUUUUUUUUUGUUGAGAUUUUUAAUAAAUCUAAAGCUAUUUAUGUUUGUUUAUUAUCAUAAAGCUAUUUAUGUUUGUCUAGCGGCGCAGCUUAUUGUCCGUUUUUCUUUUAUUCAUGUGUAAUUAAUCAUUAUUGAUCUUGUGCUUGUAUUUAACAUGUAUAGCUUUUCAACUUGAAUGAUUUUUAAACAAAAACGAAAAUAAAAAACAUAUAUAGUUCAUUUUUAUUUAAAAUCACUCUCAUUCAAUCUAUUACAAAAUCUGGAAAAAUAACCAUCAAGAGAAAAACAAGAAAUGACAUGGAAACAUGGUUGGUGACUUACCGUACGAGAGAAAUAGUUGGCAAAAGAAGCACCCCAUCCUCCAACACCAAAGGAUUCUUCAGUGAUUGAAUCUGUGGCCUUGUCAUGUUUUGUUAUACACAAGUGUGUGUCUUUGAUGAGUGAAGUUGAAGAAAUGAAAGAAUGGACAAUCCACUAUAUAGUCAACACAGCAAGCUACAUGUGUUAAUAAAAAAAAAUUAAGAUUUCGUAAUCAAUUCGGGUUUAUAAACUUAAUGUGAUGGAAAUGAAAAUUCCGGCUAGUUCUAUAUUUUUUUUAGGCUAAACACCACUUUUCGCCCCCUAAGUUUCAAAAUGUUGCGAUUUUGGCCCCCUAUUAAAAAAAAAUGGCAAAAGUGACCCCCUAUGUUUAGGGAAAUAUGCUCUUUUGACCCCCUAACAUAAGGGAAAUAUGUUUUUUAACCCCUUAUCUUUACAAAAAGUUGCGAUUAUGACCCCUUUUCAUGCCAAAAAAUGAAUAUUUAAUUUCUUUGUUUUUUGUUCUGUCUUUGACCCUCUCUUGUACUAAAUAAAAUAAGGAACAUAAUUAGUAUGAUGGAAUAGAAUAUAAUGAGUUUAUGUUUUGUUGUUUAGAUUGGUACAAAGAAAAUGAAAUGAAAUGAGGUGAAGUAUGAAGGAAUAAAUUUCAUCGUAUUUCAUCAUUUACCUUGAGUUUUGCUCCCAUUCAAUUUAUGCAGAAUGGGAUGAAAUCCUCUUUUUGUUUUAUUUUUUAAGUACUAAAAAUACUACUUAUCUAUAUGUUUCUUUCUUAAAAACAACUUUGCAAUAGUGUAGUUCCUUCAACAAAAAAAAAAACUUUGCAUUAGUGUAAUUCUGUAAUUAGAGAUUACUUGGUUAAAACAUGCUUUUUUAUGUUUGUUUAAACUAUUUUAAAUUUUAAUCGUUCCAUCAUUAGGACCUUGAUCUCUUUUCCACUAUCUCAUACCAAAUAAGGGCUGGACAAAAACCAGCCAUCCGGUCCAAACCGUCCGGUCCGAAUGGCCCGUUGACGUGCGGGUCGGUCUAAACGGGUCAGGCGGUCUCAACGGGCUUGCAGAUUCGGUCUUGUAUGGAUACGUACGGUCGGUCUCGGAUGACAGAAAUCCAACCACGGUAACCCAAUACCGUCCGAAAUAUACUGAAUACUCUACAACAAUCUACUAUAUAUAUGACAUAUAUAGUAAAGAAAUUCAUUUUUCAAAAUAAUAUGUCUAAUCUCACAUUCCAUUAACCCAUUAAAAUUGGACACAUCAUUUCCUUGAGACCCACGAUGCUGACACAUCACAUGCUAAUACUCUUUCUUUUCUUAUUAUUACUUAUUUACUUCUUCCAUUGACAGGUCCCACUCCACUUUCACGUUUUCAACACACUUCCCCUUCCUCAUCUCUCUUUUCUCUCUCACAUAAUUCUUCUGGCUUCUUCUUCACCACAUAAACAAAACACCAACUCUUUGUAUUUCAAUGGAAAAAAGAAAUUCAUUUUCCAAAAUAAAGAAAGAAGAAAGCAACAUUCAAUUGCAACAAAUUCAUCAUCAUUUAAUUGUUCUUCCAUUCUGUUUUAAAGGUUGUAGUUGUUGUUGUUCUGUUGAAGGUUGUUGUUGUAGUUUUCUGAAAUUGUUGAAAUUUCAGCUUUCCAUUUGAAUUUUACUUCCUUUCAAAAGUUUUAAUUUUUGAUUGAUUUAGUAACCGAAAAAACCCACCCAUCAAAACCGAUAUCCGAUCUAACCGUAAACCGACGUAACCGUAAACACUUGCGGACGGGAAUGGGCUUAGUUUUUCCAUCCGCGAAACCGAUUGAAACCGCGAUUUCUGGCCCGAAACCGUCCGAGUCCGACCGUUGUCCACCCCGCAAAUAUAUUAUUAUUACCCCUCUCAUUUACAUGAAAGACGUCACUUUUACGGCAACAACUUCUCUAUAAGAUAUUUAAUGAUAACAUGUGUGAAACAAUGACAGAGUUUCUUGCAUUCAUUAAAGCAAAAUGCCCGAAUUGAAUAAUAGAUAUAAGCCAUGUCAAAAUAGAUACUAGAACUUGAUACAAGUAAUUAGCAUGCCAAUUUUAACAUUUUGGGUCUUAUACAGGGAAAGAAACAGUUUUACAGAUUUUCUAUUUACGUAUGGUGAUUUUUUUUUUUUGACCGGGGUUCGAACCCAGAUCUUGCAUAUAUUAUACAUUGUUCAUGUCAACUGAGCUAAAUUUACGAGGAUGUAUGGUGAUUCUUCUAGAGGUAGGGGGUAAUGUUUGAAAAUUGCACUAUAUUUUUUUUUUACUAGUUAGUGAAAAUAAUACAAAAAACUAGAAGAGACUUUAUAUAAGCUAUAAAAUUUUAAACAUUUUAAUAGAUAAUGUAUUUUAAUUCUACAUAAUAAAGUUUUUAAAAAGUUAAAAUGGAAAGAAAAAAAAGUUAUAACACAUUUUUCCCAUUAUGUAGCUUAAGCCUUAAUGAAUAACAUUCCUCCGUUAAGGUGAACAAAUAGAAAAUUUAAGGUUUGAAUCCGACUUCUACAUAUCACAUCUCCCUAUGAACGAAGUUAUACUUACGGAAACAAUCAAUUACAUCUUAAUUCUGCUCAGUCAUAAAAUAUCCAACCAAUAUAAUUUAUAUUCCUCUCUGCUCAUUUUAAAAUAUCAAGCAGAGCCUUAAAAAGGGAAUUAGAUCCUCUCAAUAGUGAAAAAACUUGAUAGUUAGUUGGAUGAUUUAACCAUUAAAAUGUAUUGAUUCCCACUUAUAUAAUUUUAUUGGAUGGAGAGCCCAACAUAUUUUAAUGGUGAUGUCAUUCACAUAAUCCUUUAAAAAAAUCACAAUUAAAAGGAUCUAGAUCACACUUAAAGAGACGAAUACUGAGAAAGACACAACCAAUGGUAGAGAAACUAAUGAUUUUUUUUAAGAGUCAGAUUAGCCCAAUGAAAUUGGCUCUGGAGAGAAAUGAAUGAAGUUAUACUUACGGAAACAAUCAAUUACAUCUUAAUUCUGCUCGGUCAUAAAAUAUCCAACCAAUAUAAUAAAAUCUAUAUUCCUCUCAGUUCAUUUUAAAAUAUCAAACAGAGCCUUAAGAAGGGAAUUAGAUCCUCUCAAUAGUGAAAAAACUUGAUAGUUAGUUUGAUGAUUUAACCAUUAAAAUGUAUUGAAUCCCACUUAUAUAAUUUUAUAGGAUGGAGAGCCCAGCAUAUUUUAAUGAUGAGAUCAUUCACAUAAUCCUUUAAAAAAAAAGCACAAUUAAAAGGAUCUAGAUCACUUAAAGAGACGCAUACUGAGAAAGACACAACCAAUGGCAGAGAAACAACAAGGACGCACAAGACUUUUUUUUAAGAGUCAGAUUAGCCCGUUGAAAUUGACUCUAGAGAGAAUCGAGCAUGAUACAUUGAGAGAAGCACACUCCACGAUCUGAAGCCAACACCAUCAUGUCAUUUCAAAGGACGUUAAUCGUAUGAUAAAAGUGAAUAGGCAAUGAAAAAAGGAUGUAAAUGAAUAUACAUAGACACAUAGAGUAUGAUAUCCGUGUUUUUUUUUUUAUAUAUAUGAUAUACAUGUCUGGUCCUUAUCUGUGUGGAUAUCUAUUGAGCAAAUUCAAGAAUUUUGAGGUACCUUCCGGUAUUAAUGGAUAUUCAUGGACAAUAUUUUCAAAAAAAUAGAAUAAAUUUUAUAUAUAAAAAAACUACUUUUUGUUAUUACUCAAUAUUUAACGACAAAAGUUCAUCACAAUCAUUUCACUCUUAUUUGUAUUUAACAAAGGAUACUUAUGUCUAGAGUUUUUAUUUUUUGACCAAAUAUGAAACACUCUUUGCUUUUUAAGAAUGACGAAGGGAAAAAAAGAAUAACAUUAGGAACAUGACUCCGUACGUGGCAUCAAGUCUCAAAAUAGUCUUUAACUUUAAUGAAAAAGUCUGUCAAAAUGUCACAUCUAACUUUUAAGAACGCCUAAGUUUGAUUAAGAAAUUUGUGCAAAAAUUGUAUCUCUAAACACUUAUUGGAAAGAAAUGUAAGGAAUAUCCAUUAAGUAAUAUAUAGUUGAGAUAUCCAUUAAUUUUAUCUUUGGAUAUUUAUUAAGGUAUCCGCUUCAUGCAUGUAACAGGUUUUAUCCAUAAAUAUCUACGCGUACAAAUUCUUUUGUCAUCUCUAAUAAAGAUAAAGAAAAUAAUUUAUUUAGCAGACACGGACGAAUAUGUUAAAAAAGAAAUUGACUCCAAGGUGAGAAAUUAAUUGGGUAUCCUUGGAGAUAGGGAUGACAAUUGGACCCAAGCCCGAUGGGUACCUGUAAAAAAUACCCACAAUAGGUACGUAAAACUCUGCUUUUAUGGGUCUGGGCACGAGUACAUGUAAUACCCACAAAUUUUAAUGGGAAUGAGCACGAGUAAGGGUACUAUACUGCCCAACCCCGCAUAUACAUAUUUAUAUAAUAUCAUAAAUAAUUUAUUUAUUUUUUGUGUAUAAUUAAUUAAUUAAUUUAGCUAUUUAAGCCUAAACCUAAACUUAAACCAAAAAACUACUUAAUACAAUAACAACUCCCAUCAUGCCGGUGUACAAUUUUUUAGGGAUAUUUUGGAUGUUUUUUAUUUGACUAAAUAGUACGAUUCGUACUAUUUUAUGAGUUAAUUUUAAACAAUUUGGACCUCAGUUUUAUUUCAAUUGUGAUAUUUUUAUUUUCUUUUCAUAGUUAAAGUGCGGGUAAUGGGUGCGAGCAUGGACACUUAGGUACCCAUAAGGUACGAGGAAGGGCACUAAAGUUGUUGCCGACGAGGGUACGAGCACGGGUGCGUGUAUUUUUUUACAAAUGCUGGUAUGAGGAAGGGCACUGUAGUACCCUACCCAUAAGAAUUAAAAGAAAUUAGAUAAAUGCUAAAGUGUUUUUUUAGAUACUCUCAAUCUUCAAUAUAAACAAAAAAUUGUCAACAAAAAUUAAUGUAUUUGAUUUUAAAUUUGUAUCAAAUACAUCAGUUUAUUUGUUUAUAUUUUGAAACGGAGAGAGUAUUUGUUUAUAAAACUAAAGUAUGUUUUUUUGUUUUUACAAAAUAUAAAUAUUAUGCUUUUUUCCUAACAAAAUAUAAAUAGAGUGAAUAGGCAAAAACCCCCCUGAAAUUGUAACUUUCGUCAAAAACCCCCCUGAUUUUUAAGAAACUUCAAAAACCCCCAUGAAAUUAUCAAACGUUAGUCAAUUACCCCCCUUCCGUUUGUUUUGGCUGUUAAGUGACUAUUUUUUAAUUUCUUUUUGCUUUCUUCAUCUUCUUCCUUCCACUUUUUUCAUCAUCUUCAUCAACAUUCAUAAAAAAAUCCAGAAAAAAUUUAAGAAACAACAACAUCAUCAUCAACAUCACACACUUUCUAAUGAUUCUCUCUCUCUUGUUUGUUACCUUCUUGAAUUAAUCAACAACAACCCUUUGGAAUUCAUCAACAACAGAAAGAAUAACAGAAAAGAUCAUGAACUUGUUGGAAAAAGAACAAGGGUUAUGAUGAAUAGCAUGAACACCAACAUCAACGUUUCUUCUCAUUCUCAUGAUGUUAUUGUUCCAUCAUCACUCAUGUCUCCUCUUCAUAAUCAAUCACUUUUUAACCCUCAUUCAAAUGAAUUUCCUUUUUGGAGCAGCGAUGAGAUUAUCAACAACAAUGAUCAUCAUCAAUUGUCUCUUGAUCUUUCUGCUACGACCCUUUUGGAUAACAACAAUGAGCAACAAACAAGAGAAGCUUGUAAUGAGAUGAUGAUGAUGUUGUUAAUGGUUGUUGUUUCUUAAUUUUUUUCUGGAUUUUUUUAUAAAUAUUCAUGAAGAUGGUGAAAAAAGUGGAAGGAAGAAGAUGAAGAAAGCAAAAAAAAAAAAAAAAAAAAAAAGUCAUUUAACAGCCAAAACAAACGGAGGGGGAUAAUUGACUGACGUUUGUCAAUUUCAGGGGGUUUUUUGAAGUUUCCUAAAAAUCAGGGGGUUUUUGACGAAAGCUACAUUUUCAGGGGUUUUUUUUGCCUAUUUACUCAUAUAAAUAUUAUGUUAGGAAGUAGUGUAAAAUGGUAAUAUAUUUAACUUUUAAAAAGUUAAAAAUGUGUUGUUUUCGCCUAAUUAUUUCUAUUUUUUUAAUUUCCUAAUUCCUUUAAAACACUUGCUAGUUGCUAUCAUCAUAGGAUAAAAUAAAAAAUAAAUUGAAGGUGAGACGUCUGGUGGGUGGAGGGAUUGUAUAUAACUGGAGGAGAAGAGUCGUUGUGAUUUUAUUUUUUUUAUUACAAAGAGGCAGAAGCUCAUGGUUUUUUUUUUUUUUUAAAUGUUAUUUAUAUAAAAUUUCAUGUCAUUCAUUUCUUUAUCUUUCACAACAUAUUGAGUCCAGAAAAAAUCUUUGACAAAAUAUACGACAUUGAAGUUUUAUUUUUAAAAUUUUAUUCGAAUAGAUAAAAAAAUUGACAAGGACUAUAUAGUUUCAUUUCUUUUUAUUUUUUGGUCAUGGGAAUAUAUAGUUUUCUAUUAAGGAUAAAUUAUAGUUCUUAAUUCACAAUUUUGAUUGUCUGAUCAUUCUAUUUUUCUUUGCAUGAAACUUGUCUGGUUUGACAGUUACUCUUCCUAAAAUGACAAAAACGGUUUUUAUAACAGGAAGGGAGUGUUAGAUAUGUGAGUUUUGAAGAAAAGUCCUAUCAUCAAAGUGGAUUCAAGAAAAUGCCGGUUAGACAAAGGAAGAAAACUAACAGAAAAUAUUUGGAAAAAUGGUUAUAAAGAGAUAGGAUUAAUGAUGUUGGAGGAUUGAAGUAUGUAUACACACACAUAUAGUACAAGUUUUUUAUAUCAACAAAUUCCAUAUGGUUUUCAUUAUGUCACAUAACAUAAAUUUCAGAUGAUGCUGAGAACUCACUUGAGCAUGAACCGAACUACCAACAUAUAAAACGUGAACUAACUUCAUAUCUUAAAAAGGCUUUUUAAUUAACUGUAUUCAUAGAGUUUCAAAUGCAUCAAGCAUUGUACAAACCGUUCAAACUUCAAUCUGGUUCAUUGACACCGAAAUUGAAAUAUCAAAUACUAAAGCAAAGAGAAAAAUAAUAUAUCACUUACCCCCACAUAUUGCUAUAUCAUCCUGUUACUACAGAAAUGCCUUUAAGGGGUCAUUAGGGUCAAUAUCAGAUACAAGGGGGAGAUCAACUGGAAUAGAUUCUAGACUCAAACCUUCAUCUCUCAGCUUUUUUAUUACUUCUUCAAAUACAAGUUGAUUCCCUCCAUUAGUUAGAUGCAAACCGUCACUGCAUUUCGGUAAACAAAAUCGUAUAUUCAUAUCAAACCAUACCAUAUGCAUUAAAUAAUGAUAUUCUUCUUUGCAAAUUCAUACAGAAUUAGUCAUUUUCACAUAACUUAAGUCACAUGUAUUGGCUACGGAAUUGGUCAUUUUGAAAAACCAAUCAAGUCAGCAAUGAAAACUUCAUAAGUUUUUAUAUGAUGCAAAAAUGCAAAAUGUUGUAAGCAAAGAUAAACAAAGAAGGUAAAAAUCCUUACAAACCUUAAAUAAACUUUUUUCCAGUCAGGGAACUGUUGCAUUUUGGUCCAGAGAUCAAUGUAAGGAAUAUGACAUUCGGUGGCCACCGUAAUGCAUGCUCUAGCAUAUUCACCAGCAGCUUCAUUAGUCCUUUCAGGAAGACCCUCUGGAUUAUUCUCGAAUGGAUAUCUGUCAUAGAUUUUUAGAAAUUCUUCAAGUGUGAUUAACCUUUAUAGAAUUAUAUAUCUGAAUGUCACAAACAAAGAAAACAUGAUAAAAUCAGUGACAAAAUGAAGAGAAAAAUCCAAUAAAACAAUACCUAAGUCGUGCAACUUCAUCAAUGGGAGGGGGAGUUAUGAGGAUGACUUUAGUUGUCGGCCAUCGCUUCUGAAAUUCAAAGGAAAUUUGCAGUGUCCAAUUAUACCAUUUAUACAAGAGGCCUAGAAUUGAAAUUAAAAAUAUUGAAGCGUCAACUUGUAUACUUACAUAUACAUAUAAAGGACAACAGCUUUCUUAAUAGAAGCAUCAAAGUUGAUCAACUUAUGGGCCACGCAAGUGUAAAAAAACUUUCCUUUAAAAUGUUAUAAACAGACAUCUUGAUCCUUAAAGAGAGGGACCAUUCUUCCACUCCUAAAGUAGAGGUUGGUUUUCCCCCAUUUCUAACAUGCAUGCCUAUACUUAACAGCUCACAGCUCACAUGAGACCAAACCAACUGAUAACAUAAUUGCACAGGCACCAAGUAAUGACUGACACAGAAAGAAGGCACAAUGUUUAGGUUUGUCAAAACAACGCUAGACUCAAUUCAAUAGAAAAGUGGACCUUUACACAAGCAUCUCGUGCGAACUCCAUUCCCACAGAAAAGCAUGGAAUCAAACCUUUUGGAGAGCGAAAUUAUUGAUCAUACAGUAGUGGCGAAUAGCCAGAGUCCCCAUUUGACAUCACCUAUUCUAUUAACCUCCCAAUUCCCGAAAUCCCACAAGGCCAUGUGAGUGCAUCCCUAGUCCUACUGCCGUGCACUGUGCCACAACUUGACAACCAUUAUACACCUAGAGAGAAACUUUUCAUUCUCUAGAUCUAACAGUUGAAAUAGUUCUUGUGCCGUGCAACAUUAGUAGAGUAUGCAAGGCUAUACUUAAAUCAUCAUAACAACGACAAACCACCAAAUGACAAAUAAUUAUUCUUUCUUUAACAUGCAAUAUAUACGCGACCAAAGCACGGCUAUCAAACUCAAAACCACAAUUUUUUUUAAAGAAAAAAGCCUCCUUCUGUGCCUCUAAAGAACAAAACACAAUACGUCUUUUACCUAAUAAUCUGUGUCAAUCCCUCAUUGUGUGCAUACCCAUUAAACUCUAAUUUUAUUCAAACUCUGUACGAGUAUGCGUUACCUUGAAGAAGGAGACAAUGGAGCAAAGGUUCUCCUUGUAAUCAUGUAGAGGGACAUGUUGAAAAGCAGAGCAUCUAUUGGGAAGACAAGCGUCAUUAGCCCCAAAGAAAACAGUCAAAGCAAUCGGAGCAGUUUCGGUUCCACUGUCACCGCCUUGUGACACAGGGAAAACCCUUUCUAACACCUUCAACACCCACCUCGUGUUGUACCCACUAUACCCUCUGAGCACCACAUCUGCCUGUUAAACAUUACAACACAAGCCUCAUUUAUCCUUUUCAAAAGAAACACAAACCCCAUUACAAAAAGAUUCAAACUUUACAUUAAAAUCUAAAAACAGAAUGUGGGUUGCAAUUAACUCAAAUUGUCGACCCCUUAUGGAUCUGGCUAUUAUGUAGUCACGCAUUCAUGAUAAUGGUGGCCGUUUGAUCAAGAUCAGACACUUAAGAUUCAAUUUCUAUAUUUUGAAAUAAAAAAUUUAGAACGAUCAACAAUGUCCCGAAUGCGUGAUUCCAAUGAGUGCACGGAAUCCAGUUUCACCACUUAUAAACUCAAUGUCAACGUGAGAUUCUUAACAAGACGAGACUAAUAAAUAAAUCACAUUACAAUUUGGGUUGCACCUAAUUCAACUCAAAAAGUAAGUAAAUAUUGUCCAUUAUUUAUAAACACAAACAUAUAAUGUGGAAUCUUAACAAGAACAUUAAACAGAAAUGAAAAUAUGAGUUGUUAAAGCAAAACAAAGCAAGAAUGGAUGUUACUGUGCGUGAGAAAAAGUUGGAAAGAGAAGCACCCCAUCCUCCAACAUCAAAGGAUUCCUCAGUGAUUGAGUCACCAAAAAGAUAUAUUUGUGGCCUCUUAGUCAUGUUUGAUCAUACAAUUGUAUGGUUGGACUUGGUGGGUUCAGUUCAGGUGAAAGAAAUGGAAGAGGGUCUUAGAUCAUAUAACUAUGUUGAUGCAUUAAUAAAGUAAAUAAGAUUCCACUACAAUGACUACAUUCUCAAUCACCAGAUAAAAAAUUAUAAAAUGUAUUUGGAGAAAUUAAAUUUUUAUUUGAAUAAAUAACCCUUAAAAAAAAAAAAUACCCACCUGCCCCUCCCGACAAUUUCUUAAAAAAAUAUAAGUUUUACUGUUCCUUCUAUCCCAUAUUAAAAUGAUCCAUUGGACUAUUUUACAUUGAGGUUACUUAUUAUGUACUCUAUGCUCUAUUCUAAAAUUUAUAAAUUAUUUCUUAUCUUUCAUUGUUAUAAAUCAUUUCUCCUCUUUUUUUCUUUUUUUUUUUUUUUGACAUAAGUUAUACAUUAUUUCUUACCUUCUAUCUUUCAUUUGUUUGCCAUUGCACAACUACCAAGUGUUGCUUAUGCAUUUCACACAAAUUCUUCACUCAUUCGUAUGCAACAUGUAAUGACUUCUCUCAAUUUUCAUUUGUUUGUCCUUGCAUGAUUCUUUCUCCAACAUGAAAAUUCAUUAAAAAAGGAAAAGCUUCCGACAUGAAAUGUAAGCUUAACUCCAUAUCCAAAUAAAUGGCUCUAUUUAACUGAAUUCUGAGAGGCUAAAUUGUAUAUAGCAUUAUACAAACUGUUCCAAUCUGGUUCAUUGACACUGAAGCACAACAAAUAUUCUUUGACUGAAAGAAAAACUAUUACACAGACUAACUCACAAUCAAUACAAACAAAACAAAAUGAAAUAUCUAAUACUUUAAGAGGGAAAAAGCAUAUACCACUUAGAGAAUCCUUAAAACAAAAGGAAGACCAAUACCAAGGUAAUGUACUCUAUUUACAUAUCAUUCAAUAGUAAUGACAACAGUACUAUAAUUUCCCAAAAGAGAUAGCCCUUUUGUACUACAUCAUCAUGUUACUAUACAGAAAUGCCUUCAGUGGGUCAUUAGGAUCAAUAUCACCUAUAAGGGGGAGAUCAACUGCCAUAGAUUCUAGAGUCAAACCUUCAUCUCUCAGUUUUCUGAUUACUUCUUCGAACACAAGUUGAUUCCCUCCAUUAGUGAGAUGCAAACCGUCACUGCAUUUCAGUAAACAAAAUUGAAUAUUCAUGUCAAAACCAAAAAUAUAAUACACACUUCGAUUAAUAGCUACUGUAGGCUAACAGAAAGAAAAAAACAAGUGAAAUCCAUGUAGACAGCAUCAUUAAUUAGCAUCAUCGAAACUGUGCAAUCUUAUACAGCAACCAAGCCUUAUCCCGCUAAGUGGAAUCGGUUACAUGAAUCAAAUGACGCCAUAGUGUUCUAUCAAAAUCUAUGUCUUUCUCCAACUCAUUUAUCUCUAGAUCCUUCCUAAUAGCUUCUCGUAUAGUUUUUCUAGGUUUACCACUACCUCUAGUGACCUGACUCCCCUCCAUUUUAUCUGUUAUACUUACUACAAAAUUCACAAGUCUUCUUUCUAUAUGUCCAAACCACCAAAGUCUAGUUUCUACCAUCUUUACUACUAUAGGUGCUACCCCAACUCUCUCUCUCUAAUGUCGUCAUUUUGAAUUCUAUCCCGUCUAGUCUUACCACACAUCCAACGCAACAUCAUCAUUUCUGCUACGCUUUAUGUUCGAAACAGUACAAUCUUAUGUUCUAUUAAUAUGAAACUUGCCCAAUUUUUUGUAAAUUACACAAUAAUUAAUUUUUCAGUUGUCUUUGCAUUUUUAAUCAAACCACAGUCACCAUAACCAUCCAAGAAUGACAUUAUUCUUUGCAAAUUCAUCAAAAUUGGUCAUUGUGGCAUAACAUAAGUCACAUAUAUAUGGCUACGGAAUUGAUCAUUUUGAAAACCAAGUCAGCAAUGAAAACUUCAUAAGCUUUCAUAUGAUGCCGUUAUGACAAAUCAACAAGAAUUCGGAUAAACUACAUGACAAAGCCAUCAUGUUCAUUAUCAUUUUAAAUUUAAAUGGUAAAUAUUGAAUACUGUUAACAUUGAGAUUCCAAAAUGCUUUAUGCAAAGAUAAACAUAGAAAGUAAAAUUUUGGAAACCUUAAAUAAUUUUUCUUCCAGUCAGGUGACUGUUGCAUUUUGGUCCAGAGAUCAAUCACAGGAACACGACAUUCAUUGGCCACAGCAAUGCAUGCUCUAGCAUACUCACCAGCAGCUUCAUUUGUUCUUUCAGGAAGACCCUCUGGAUUGUCCACAUACGGAUAUCUGCAAUAAAGUUUCAGAAAUUCUCCGAGUAUUACCUCUAUAGCAUUAUACAAUCUAAAUCUUACAAACGAAGAAAACCUAAAAUAAAAAAACGACAAAAUGAUGAAAAAAAGGUCAAUAAAGCAAUACCUAAGCCGUGCUUCCUCAUCAAUGGGAGGAGGAGUUACGAGGACAAUAUGAGUAGUUGGCCACCGCUUCUGAAAUUCAAAGGAAAAUUGUAAUAUCCAAUUAUACCAUUUAGACAAGAGGCCUAGAAUUGAAAAGAAAAAAAUAUAUAUUUGAUUUACGAGGUCAUUCUUUUUUAAGGGUGAUAAUUUACUGUGUCAUUCUAUUAUUUGGAUUAUUAGUAUUAUUCAGGAAGGAGAAUGCUAUUAUUUAUUCAAGGAUAGGGGAGACACUAGGCCAUUCUAUCUCUAUGGAUUAUUACAAAACUAAGCAGCCACUGUGCUAGCAUCCACAGAAUAAACAAGAAAGAACUUGCAUGACUUUUCCCGAUCAACUUUAACCUUUUUCUCAAGGAAGCCUAAGCUAAUAUUUUCAUCUUUUCUUGCUAAAAGAAGAAAGCAUUACAACUCUGAAUUUUAAAUUUUAUAUUCAUUUGAUUUUUUGUUUUUUGAGGAAAUUUGAAUUAAUACUCCAAUUUAUAAUGCUUUAAAUUUGUAAUGUUAUAUAUAUAGCACAUUUGAGGACGAGCCUUGGCACAACAGUAAUGCUGCUACCUUGUGAUAAGAUCACAAGUUAAAAUUCUGAAAACAUCUUGGUUUGUAGGGGUAAGAUUGUAUGCAUCUACUUCACAAGACCCCACCUGAUAGAAACCUCAUGCAAUUUAUUGUAAGCAAUUUAUUGCCCUUACAGACACUUAUAGACAUCUCAAUUAUACACAUAAAGGGUCGACAACUUUCUUAAUAGAAGCGUUAACAAUGAUCAACCUAUGAGCCAUGUCAAAAAAACUUUCUUCUAAGAAUGUUAUGCAGAUAUCUUUAUCCUUAAAAAGAGGGACCAUUCUUCCACUCCUAAAGUAAAUGUGGGUCUUCCCUAUUGCUAACAUGCAUGCCUACCUAACAGUUCAUAGGUGACCAGACCAAAUGAUAAUAUAAUUGCAUGGCCACCAAACAAUGACAGAGAAAAAAGACACAAUGUUUAGGUUGUGAAAACAACGUUAUGAUCCUACUCAAAAAGAAAGACAAUAAAAAGUGGACCUUUACAGAAGCAUCUCGUGCAAACUGCUAACUCCACUCCCACAGAAAAGCAUGGAAUAAAAAAAAUCUUUAGAGAGCGUAUUAUUGAUCACAACACAAGUGGAAAACAGUGAUAACUGAUAACCAAAGUCACUAUAGCACAGCCACUGCACGUGUGUUAAUUUGACAUCACCUAUUCCAAAAAGGCCCCACUUCUCCAAUUCAAUUCCUGAAACCCCACAAGGCCAGAACCAAUAUUUGGCUACCCCAGACAAUAUAUAUAAAUCAUCAUUAACAACCAACCACACCAAAUGACAAAUAAUUAGUCUUUUUGUAACACUAACAUGCAAUAUAUGCAAACAAAGCACGCUUAUCAAACCCACAAGGGUCAAAACUAAAUUUUUAACCUUUUGUGCCUCUAAAGAAACGUGAGUUACCAACACUUCAUGUUUAAUGUGUAUUUGGUGGUGUCACACAUGUGUCAGUGUAGAACAAGAAACUAACAUGUGCAGCUACAUUCAAUCCAAAUAUGUCAUUAACAAACUAUUUUAUUCAUUGAAAUUCAUAUGAUUCUCGUUAAAUUUACAUGGCCUGCAUGAUUUAGUAGAAUCUGUUUUAAUCUCAACCAAUAGAAUAGUAUAAUCAUAUGAGUCGGACACCGGAUAUAUAUGCCGUCCAUCAACCGCUAGUCUGCAUGCAUUCCUUCAUUCAACCACUAUCAAUUUUUCAAAUUAUUAUCCCUGUCCAUGUGUGUUUAGUCUAACAUCGCUGUCAAUACCGAACCUUUUUCAGGGUUUCAAUACCAUUAACAUAAAUCUUUUACCUGAUCAUUUUAUUCAAACCAGUGUUACAAUUAACAGCAUCCUUAUAUAUACAUACAUAAAAUAAAAUAAAAAUUGUCUUGAUACAAAUCUAUGAAGCACCAACACUGACAUCGGACAUGAUACAAACAUGGGUAAUAAUUUGAAAAAAUGAGGUAAUUGAAAAACAUUUGUCGGACACACUAAUCAUGAAGUGUCGGUGCCUGCUACGAAGCUACGAAAAUAGGUUACCUUGAAGAAGGAGACAAUGGAGCAAAGAUUCUCCUUGUAUUCAUGUAGAGGAACAUGCUGAAAACCAGAACAUCUAUUAGGCAGACAAGCAUCAUUUGCCCCAAAGAAAACAGUCAAAGCAACAGGAUCAGUUUCUGUUCCAUCACACUUUGACACAGGGAAAACCCUUUCCAAAACCUUCAACGCCCACCUUGUGUUGUAACCACUAUAUCCUCUUAGCACUACAUCAACCUGAUACACAACACAAUAACCCCAAUUACAAAAAGCUUCAAACUUUACAUCAAAAUAACAAAACCCAUCACAAGAAAAAACACAAAAGGAUGAAACAUGAUUGAUGGGUUGUUAAAGGAAGAACGAAAAAUAAUAAAUACCGUGCGAGAGAAAUGGUUGGCAAGAGAAGCACCCCAUCCUCCAACAGAGAAUGAAUCUUCAGUGAUUGAAUCACCGAAAAGAAAAAUCUUUGGCCUUGUCGUGGUCAUGUUGAUGCAGAAAUGAAAGAAUGAAUGGAAGAUCCACUAGAUAUAUAUAAUAGAGCUUCUCCUUCUACUAAUAAUGGAUAAUGAAUUACUUUUCGGUGGAAAAACUGAAAAAGACUGCAAAUGCACACAAAGACAAAGUAAUUGAAUUCAUUGAAGUGAAAGUGCACUGAAAAAGGUGCAUGCUGAUAGAGACGUAACCAAGGCCGGCGAGCGGUAGGGACACAAGGGCUCCAUCCUCGAUCUACAAAUAAUACAAUCAAUAUAAUUAGUAAGGCUUAAACCCUGAAGAUUUGGUCCCUUAACUAAAAAAAAGAUUGUUUGAGAAUUUUAAAUUUUUUUAGUCUCGUUUUGGUCCUUCUGCUUGAUUUCCGUUAGUUUUAAUAAAAAACGUUAAGUGUUGACACAUGUCAUUUUGUCAUUGGCUCUGAAUUUUUUUUUUUUACAAAAAAAAAUACUCAAAGCCAAUAACAAGGUGACACGUGUCCAGGAGUUAACUUUUUUUAAAAACCCUAAGGGAAACCUAACAGAAGGGACCAAAACGAGACUAAAAAAAAACUUAAAAUCCUCAAACAAUCUUUUUUUUAGUUAAGGGACCAAAGCGAUACCAAUUAAAUAGUUAAGGGACCAAAAGAGCAUUUAAGCCUAAUAGUAAUCAUAAACACUCUCUCUAAUAGUCACUCUCUUUGGCGGUUUAAAUCAUUAUAGGUCUGCACUUUAAAAAUUGAACAAACAAAGUGAUGGAACAUAUAUUGAUUUCAUCCAAUAAAAGAGUGAGUACCAAAGGGAGCGUUGAAAAGUGAGUGUUGCUAACAUUUCUUAUCAAUAUAAUAUGGGUUAAGAUGGAGUCUAUUUCGCAAAAUAAACUCUCUGUUUGUAACUUCGAGAGAGAUAGACAUAGACAAUAUAUAAUGAGUUCUACCAUUAGAUGGGUCCCACCAUCAUUAAUUAUAUUUUAUCUUUUUUAAAAUUUUAUAUGUUUGUUAUAGUUUUUAUACACAAAUUAAGAAAUGUAAUAAUAAUGUCAAAAGACAUACAAUUUUACUAAACUAACUUUAUUUACAAUUGGUGUAAGUCUUUGAAAGUAGUGUACACUCCAUUAAUUAUACUUUAUAAAAAAAAAAUAAACAAAACCUUUUAAAAAAUAAAGUUAAACAAAAGUUAAUUAUGACCCUCUCCAAAAAAAUGUUAAUAAAGACAACACAUUUUUUUGGCCAAAUACCUUCCUGACUCCUUUAAGUUUCACGUUUGUUUCGGAUAGGUCCUUUAAGUUUCUAAGGUUUUAGAUAGGUCCUUUAAAUUUUUAAGGUUUCAGAUAGGUCCUUUAAGUUUCGAGUUUCUUUCGGAUAGGUCCUUUAAGUUUUUAAGGUUUCAGAUAGGUUCUUUAAUUUUCGAGUUUGUUUCAGUUAGGUCAUUUCUAUCAAAUCAACUUUGGCUUAACGGAGGUUGAUAGAAAAGACCUAUCUGAAACAAGCUAGAAACUUAAAGGACCUAUCUGAAACAUUAGAAACUUAAAGGACUUAUCUGAUACAAACUCGAAACUUAAAUGACCUAUUUGAAACCUUAGAAACUUAAAGGAUCUAUCUGAAACAAACAUGAAACUUAAAGGAUCCGGGAAGGUAUUUGACCCUUUUUUUAAAAAAAAAACGUAACAUUUGUUGUUAUGCAGACGUGAGCAUAUAUUUUGUGUAAAAAAAAAUGUGCGCAUAUUAAUUAAACGUAACAUGCUUUUUUUUUGACAAAAGUAAACGAUAUUCAUUCAUUCAAAUUGAUAGAGUAUAUCGAUACAAUACAAAUCCAAAUCCGCUAGAAACAAAAAAGAUGAAUCUCUGAACAAACUCACAAUAUCCAUGUUAAUAGCAUAAAACGGCAAAAUAUCUAUGCCUACAAAUAUGACUAUAUUCAAGUCUCUAGAAUACUAUGUCUCUAGAUCUGCAACGUUGACGAAGUCAAAAGUCAUUGUCAUUGAUCGGAUCUGCACUUGCUCAAAGCUAGUCUUUCAACCUGAAUCAAAUAAACACCACACUAAGACGGGAAAUAAAAAACACACUGCAUAAAGAUGAAAAAUCAAAACAAACAGAGUCAUUCAGAGACGACGAAAUCACAAAAACAAUCGAAAGAAAGCAGAAAAUAUGUGAAAUCACUUAUUCAAUUAGAAUAGAAGGAAAAACAACUCGAAUGAGUAAUUUUUGGGUCAAAAUUGACCUUAAAUCACCCUUCUGAUAAAAAGAAGAAGAAAGGGGUGACGGCUAGGGAUUACAUAACAUGCUUCUUAAAAAAAAUAUUAAAGGUAACAUGUUUAUCUUAAACAUAGCAAUUUAUUACAAAGGGUAAAAAUAAAUUUUCAUUGUAAAAAGACCGUUAGCAAACGAGUUUUUUUUUCCGUCAAACGAACUUAUAAGUUAUCCACUAUAAACUAGCUUUUUGACAUUGUCAAACAGAGUCUAAGUAACUAAGCAACAAAAAGUUGUGUAAUUACUGCUAAGACAGAAAUAAAACUUGCAUUUCCAAGACAUAACUUGAAUUUCCUCUGAAUUGUUUUUCUCUUAAGACCUAAAAAUACGUCAAAGUCAUUGAUUUAAUCGGCAACAAUAUAUCAAAGUUAAAUUGUCAAUUUGAACCAAAUGAACAUCACAUAUGUCUAUAAAUCAAAAUAACGCCACAUACAAAUGACGAAAAUCACAGAAAAAAAAUUCAAUAUAUGCAAGUAGAGAGAAAAACAGUUUAAAUGAAUGAUUUAUAGCGAAUAAUUGAUCCCUAAACCACCUUUAUUGAUGGAUGAAUAAGAGGUGAAAGUUAGAGAUGAAAAUAAAAAAUGAGAGUGGAACCUAAUUUUUUUCUUAAACGAUACAUUUUAUCAUUCAUUUAUUAAAUGAAUUGCUUACCAUUUUCUAAAUUCUAUUUUGUCACUCACAUUUUGUGUUUCAAGUUUAUUUUUUAAAAUUCUUAACUUAGAAUAAAACGUCACUCACAUUAAAACAAGUUAAUCCAUUCCUUCGUUUGGAUGUUUAUAUGAGUAGAGAAGAUGUGUAUUGAAAUUUGCCUUGUUUACAAAGUUAGUUUGAAAAUAUUUUUCAAUUAUUUUUAUUAAACUCAAUUAUAUAGCGGAAUGGACUAACUUAUUUCAAAGCUAGUAAGUUUUAAAUCAACAUAAAACUUUUAAAAUAUAAUGAACCAAAUUGAAAGGGUGAUCAAGGAAGAUUUAGGUGGAUGGUGAUAUAAGGAAGAUUUCUUUUAAUAUUGUUUUCAUGCAAAAUUUAAAUGGUGAUUAGCACCUAAAUUGUUCAAAAUUUCAUAAAAUUGUCCAUAGUAAGUCAUCACAACAUUGCACAAAGAUAUAUAUCAUCGAUCACUAUUAUAAAUAAAAUUUAAUAUUUUAAAUUUAUUUAAUAAAUGAUUUAUGUAAUCUAUAUCAAAUAUAUUUAUAGAAUGAAUGUAUCUAAAAUAUCAAUUUUUAUUUAUAAUAACGACCUGAAGAUGUAUUUGGGUCGAAAAUUAAAAUAUUUGGGUCACCAACCCAUUAAUUUUCUCAUAUCACUUUCACUUCAACCAUAACCAAAACUGAACCGCUCUCACCGGAAUUCAGACACAGACACAGUGUCAACCACCGCACACGCAUCCCUAGAAAAGGUCCGUUCCAAUUUCCUUUACUCUCCAUACUUCAUAUUCUACUAUUUUCUAUUAUCCCAAUGCACAUAAUUACAUUUAAUUUCAUACCCUAAUUCUAUAAACAAUGUUAAUUCAACAAUUCAUAUAUCUCAAUUUUUGAAAUUAGGGUUCCUAAGCCUAAUUUUGCUUCAAUUCGACAAUUCUAUUCUAACCAGACAAUAUAUUUUGUAUGUGAAUGAUCAAGAAAUCGAGAUGCAGGGAAGAGUGAGGAAGGUUUCAGCUCGUGGUGAACCGGUAGCAGCAAACUACGCAUUCGGUCCUUCAAUAGACGAUGUAAUCAUUAAACACCGGCUUCUAACCCGAACAACAACAACUCGAGGCGAACCACCAUUGAAAAAGCUUCAAAAGAAGUUCACUUCUUUCGUUUCUGAGGUAGACAAAGAUGAAGACAAUUACAAUGACUGUGAAAAGCUUGCAAGAGCUUUUUUGCAAGAAUUGACUACUUUUGAGAUACCCCUUUUGAAGAGUAAAGCGAUCGUUGAAGCUAAUGUUAGAGAGAAGGAUAAUUUCAAUGAGUUGAAAGAUGAAAUGAAUCGACAGAUUGCGCAGGCGCAGGUUGAUAUUGAGGAUUUGAAGAAGCAGUUGGAGGAGAGUAAGGUUGAGAGAAGGCAUAAGGAGGAGUGUGAGGCUAUUAGGAAGUUGAUUGCUGUGCAGCCGCCGAGAUCCGAGACGCAAAAGGUUUUGAGUGAGUUAGAGAAGGAAAUUGCGGCGUUGGAUGCUGAGAACACUGCUGGUUCGAGAUUGUUGGAGCUGAGGAAGAAGCAGUUUUCACUUUUGUUGCAAGUGGUAUGUGGUAGAUAUUUUAGUUUGUUUAAUUGCUUUUGUGAUUGUGUGUUAUUUUGCCUCUUAGAAAUUUGCAAGCAGGAAUUUAACGUCAGCUCUGGGCCUAUUUGUGAUGCCUAAUUGUUUAACUAUUUCUCUUUCAAAAUGUUAUGUUAACGUAGAUGCUUACCCUUGUUGCCCUGUUUGGAUAAACAACUUAUUCGCAGCUUAUAACACAAGUGCUUAUCAUGGUGAGAUGUAUAGGUUAUUUCUAUAGCAUAAGCUAUCUUGGAGAACUUAUGAAAAUAAGCUAAAAGCAGCUCAUGAACAAUGUCAUAAGUUGUUUUCACAAGUUCUCCCAAAUAGUCUCACAAAACUUAUAUUGGUAGAUAAGCUCAAAUAAGCCAAUCCAAACAGGCCCUGAGGUUUAGAGAAUGGCAGAAUGGGCUUUAGUUAUGAAUGUCAUUUUUCUAUUGAAAAGGGAUUCUGGUGCUAUUGCAAAAGUAGCACAUAGCAAAAUCACACACUAUUUUGAAAUAGAGACAUUAUAUUUUAUACUUCUUAUUUUGAUUAUGAUAAUGAUAGCACUAUGCAGAUGAAGCUGUUAAUGUAAAUAAAAAAACUAAGAUCCUGUGUGGUUCUAGAAAAUGUUUUCUUCUUUCAUUUUUGUUUUCACCGAAAUUUAACUCGGUCUAAUGAACCUCAAUAGCAAUCCAAGUUCAACUGAAAUCAACCAUAAAAGAAAACAUCAAUCACUUAAAAACAUAUAUGGUUGAAGGAGAACUCAAUUUGGUACGAAUUGCCCAAGUCUGAGAAGCAAAGAUGAAUAGAACUAGAAUGCAACCUUAAUUAUGAAUAGCCUGUUAAAUCUAGAAAAUGGCAGAAUGCAGCCUCAGUUAUGAAUACUAGUUGAGAAGGGAUUUUGGCACAGUUGUAGACCGAAACUUAAGAUGCAUUUGGGAAGAGGGGUAGUUCUAGCUUACAAAGCAGUAUUUUGGUUAUUUGAUUGUGAUCUGCAUUAACCUUUUAAAAUCAUCUUAGAUGUUUUUAGAGUGUUAAAAAAUGGUGUUUGGGUUGAAAAUUGUCAAACCAAGUAAUCAUAUAUGAAUACAUUCAUAGGUCUGGAAGACUAAAAUAGAGAAGUUGUGAUUUGUGACUUUUUAGUUUAUUGCUUGAAAUGGUUAUGCAAUUUGCUAGGCUCUUGUCAAGUUAUAUAAUAUAUGUUGACAAUAAAAUGCUUCCAUCUUUAGUUAUUUCUCUUUGAAGAUUUUUUAGUCGGAAAUUCCAUCCUUAGCUUCCUAAUUUCCUAAUGUAAUAAAAUGUGGACAUGUGUUUUUCUCCGAUGGCAACAACCCACAUGUGACAUUCUGAAAAGAGUUCAAUGUAUCAUUCAAUCAUUCUUAAUCUCGAUAUAAUCUGUAAUUGCCGGUUUCCCUUUUAUUUAUUUAUUGUUUUGUAGUGUGCAUACCUGUUGGAAGUACAAACUGAAACUUUUGAAUUUAGUUUUAGUCAAUAGUGUUUCAGCUGAAUCAUUUUUGUUCAAGGAUUUCACAAUAAGUUAUAUAUUUUCUAUGUAUCUUUUACUUCUCAUGUCAUAUGAACUUGUUUUUCCGAUAUUUUCUGUUUUUCAUUGGCUAUGUUAUGAACUGCCAAUAUCUUGAUGGCAAAUUCUCCUCCUUAAUUUUCUUGCAGGUGGAUGAGUUGCAGAAUACAAUAGAGGAAGACCAAAAGAGUCUAGUCGAGGAGAUGAGAUUAGCAACUGAGGAGCUCAAGAAUGGGAUGGAGGACGCAAGUGGGGGGUCAGAUGCAAUGGCAGUUGACCAUUAGAUUGAAAGUCUCAUUGUUGUAUCAUUUUUUGUUUUCAUAUCGUGAUUAGGAAUCAUAUGUAAAUGAAAUAUCAAUGUUAUUUUGCCAGUGCUUAGAACUUUGUACACUUGCAUUUUGAUGGGGGUUUUCUCUGAAAUUUUGUUGUGUAACAAUAUAUUCAACAUUGUUGCGUCUUUUUCACUAUUUUUUUUUUCCCUUCUCCUUAUCGUUUUUUCACCCAAAGGAUCUGGUCAAUUAUACUCCUAUGUAUCAUGAACAAAACCAUAUAUGGGAAUGGAUAUGAGAAUUUUAAAAGUAUAUACUAAAUUUUUUCUGAGUAGUUGGAAGUAUCUAAAAUCAACUGUGAUGAGGCUAAAUGAUCUUAGAAGCAAACAACUUGAGGCACAAAUGCACCGCCCUUAUUUUUGUGUAAAUUGGGUAUCCUCCGCGCGCACAUGCGGAGCCUAAUGCAGUUGUUUGUUCAUAUAUCUAUCAAAAUAUAUUCACACAACAAAAAUUUACUCUCUUUUAUAUUCUUCUCCCAUUUUUAUAAACUUCAAAUGAAUCUAUUUUUUAGGCAACAAGUAAAUGAUAAUGUUCAUGUUCUUGCUUGCAAAAGUAUCUACCAAUUACGCUACUCGCAAUAUUUUUAUGUGUACUCCUCAUUGUAUCUGGAACAUUGAAUGAAAUGCUUUGAUUUUGUUUGCGUAAUUUUUUUAUUUUUUUUUAUUUUUUAUUUUUUAUUUUUUUUUUGCAAAGGACUUCAAAGGAAUCUUAAGUUUAAAACACUUUAUUUUGUGAUAAAUAUUAAACAAAAUUUUUGGAUUACUAAAUCAAUGGCUACGAGGUGUCUGAUUUUUCCUUUUCACAUUUUAGGCGACGUUCAAAUUUAUUUAUUUUCUAACAGUUUAGGUGACCUGAAAAUAAUAGAGUAAAUUGACUAAAAAAUGUUGGAUGUAAUUUUAAAAAAAAAAAAGGGUUAACUAAGUAAAUCAUAGUUAUAAAUUUCAAAAUUUCGUUUUUAAUCUUUAUAAAAAAAGUACUUUUUUGUCCUUGUAAUAUUUUUUUUUUAACAUUUUAAGGACAAAAAUGUUUGACAGAAAAUUUUACAGUAUCAAGUACAACUUUUUUUGUAGAGACUAAACGAAAUUAUCAAGGUUUUUUUUUAGAUUACCUUUGAAGAAUGGUGGGUAAUUUACCCACCAACUAAUGAAAAUAAGUAAUUUGUUGGUGGGGUCAAGAUAGUUCAUGGAUACCACUUAAAAAUGUGCUUAUGUGCCUAAUGUGUAUUGGUUGGGGUAAAUUAUCCAACAUUCUUCCAUGGGUACCCUAGUUGUCACCAAUUAUCAAAUAUCCACCCAAUGACAUUGAAUUUAAUGACUUUGUUUUUAUAUCUCUUAAUCAAUCAUUUUCUAUAAUCAAAAUAAUUUAUUUUUAUCAAUCAAUUUAUAUCAAUUAAAUACAAUAAAAUCAUCAAUACGUCACUAAAACUUAUUGACAUCCAAGUAUUUUCCAAAAGUGUCACAAAGCACAACUCUAGUAAAUGACAUUAACCAGACAAGUAACAUAGGAUCGCGAAUCCUCAUACAAAUUCUCUCCGGCAAUGUCACUCAUUGAGAAAAGAUGAAGAAUGGAAUAAUAUUCAGACCUUUCUUCUUCUCUCGUAGAUUCCUUAGUUCCCUAUUAUCACCACAUCAACCAUUUUCACAAAACCAUGAUUUUAUUCCUCCCUCCACCUUUUUCUCCAACACUCUUCAACACUACAUUAAUUCCCAAACCCCUUCCCACGGCCAAAAGAUCCAUUCCCACAUUCUCAAAACUGGGUUUGUUCCAAACACAAACAUUUCCAUCAAACUCCUUAUACUUUACAUUAAAUCUCAUUCUUUAAGAUAUGCACGUCAAGUGUUUGAUGAUUUGCAUGACAGAACUUUAUCCGCUUAUAAUUAUAUGAUUGGCGGGUAUUUAAAAAAUGGGCAAGUUGAUGAGUCACUUGAUUUAUUUCAUCAGCUUUCAGUGUCUGGUGAAAAGCCUGAUGGGUUUACGUUUUCGAUGAUUUUAAAGGCGUCUACAAAUAGGGUUAGUAAUGGGAUGGUUGGUGAUCUUGGAAGAAUGGUACAUGCACAGAUUCUUAAAUUUGAUGUUGAGAAAGAUGAUGUUCUUUGUACUGCGUUGAUUGAUUCUUAUGUUAAGAAUGGGAGGGUUGGUUAUGGAAGGACUGUGUUUGAUGUGAUGUCGGAGAAGAAUGUAAUAUCUUCAACGUCACUUAUUUCUGGUUAUAUGAAUAAAGGCUUUUUUGAUGAUGCUGAAUAUAUAUUUCGGAAAACAUUGGAUAAGGAUGUUGUGGUGUUUAAUGCUAUGAUUGAAGGUUAUAGCAAAGUAUCUGAAUAUGCUAUGAGAUCUCUUGAAGUUUACAUUGACAUGCAACGGUUGAAUUUUAGGCCGAAUCUUUCCACAUUUGCUAGCAUAAUUGGUGCUUGUUCUGUGCUUGCAGCAUUUGAAAUUGGGGAACAAGUUCAAGCUCAGCUUAUGAAAACGCCUUUUUUUGCAGUCAUAAAGUUAGGAAGUGCGCUUAUAGAUAUGUAUUCCAAAUGUGGUAGAGUCAUAGAUGCUCAAAGAGUUUUUGACCACAUGCUUGAGAAGAAUGUUUUUUCAUGGACGUCUAUGAUCGAUGGAUAUGGGAAGAAUGGAUUCCCUGAUGAAGCACUUGAGCUGUUUAAAAAGAUGCAGAUUGAAUACAGCAUCACACCCAAUUUUGUGACGUUCCUUAGCGCUCUCACAGCUUGUGCGCAUGCUGGACUUGUGGAAAGGGGUUGGGAGAUCUUUCAGAGUAUGGAGAGUGAAUAUAAACUGAAGCCGAGGAUGGAGCAUUAUGCUUGCAUGGUUGAUCUAUUAGGACGAGCCGGGUGGCUGAAUCAGGCUUGGGAGUUUGUCACAAGGAUGCCUGAGAGACCAAAUUCGGACGUGUGGCUUGCUUUACUUAGUUCAUGCAGAAUCCAUGGUAAUAUAGAGAUGGCGAAAUUAGCUGCAAAUGAGCUUUUCAAGCUGAAUGCUUAUGGAAGACCGGGGGCAUAUGUUGCAUUAUCUAAUACCUUGGCAGAUGCUGGGAAAUGGGACAAUGUAAGUGAGCUUAGAGAAGUAAUGAAGGAGAAAGGAAUAUCCAAGGACACUGCCUGUAGUUGGGUUUGAGCUAACAGUGCUUGUAUGUUCUUGUGAUGAAUUCAAAGAUGCACAACAUCAUAACUAAGUUUUGAUAUGCUUCUGACAAUAAUGUAAACUCUUAAAAAGAAAUAUAUACGAAACAAGAUGUUCAAUGAAGUGGAGAAGCAAUGGUGUUUCUAGGAGGUAGUUGCAGAUAGUAUGGUUCAAGGAGGUUAAUCCUAAUUGACAGAAAAAGAAGGGAAAAACUUAAGCAGAAUUGUUGACUAUCUUGAAUAAAGUUGAAGUCAAGCCCUGCUGCUUAAAAGAGAUAGGUUUUUUUUUUUUUUUUUUUUUUUGCAGUAGGUAGACAUAGGAUUUGGACUUUUAAAUUAAAAAACUCCAAAUAUUGUUAAUCUGAUCCAUAUUAAGUUCGGGAUCACAGUGAAAGAAGUACAGAUUAAUAUAUGGAUUUAGUUAGUUUUUAUCUAAUCCAUGAAGUUGAUAAAUUUCAUGACAGCAGCCAGUCGUAGAUACUUUAAAAAUGUAUUUUUUCGAUAGAUCUUUCCUUCAAUUGUUUUUUUAAUGAUUUGUAUCAGACGACGUAGUGCAUAUUUAGAAUGACGGCGAAUGUAGCGGAAUUAUGGUGUGUCAUUGUGUUUUACUAAAAAUUACACUUUUGAACCUCAACAAAAUUACCAUGUCAGUAUAAUUUCGUCAAACUCAUUCUAAACAUGCACUUACUAACAAAUACUCCUUACAAUGAAACAAUCUUGGCAUCACAUAGUUGAAAUUGCAUUUUCAAAGUUUGAUUAUGUACAAAAAUAAUAAUAAAACCUGAUCCAUAAUUAGAAGAAAGAAAGUGGCGUGAAGAGAGAGGAAUGCUUGUAUCAACGUGGACUUUAGGUAUUGGUAACCAACCAAUGCUGUUUCUUUCUUGGAACAGGUUCAAAAUCUAGGUGGCUACUUUCAUUUCACUACGUGUACCCGUUUUUUUAUUUUAUUUUGGUAGAAAAUUUUAUUUUGUUUUCUCUACUAAUUUAACUCAUUUUAUUAAUAUUUCUUGUUCUCUCCGUCAACUAUAUAGUACUAGUAUAUAUUAUAUAUAGCCUCCCAUAAUUUAACAACUUCAAGCCUUUAGGUAAAUAGCCAUGUGUUGCUGUUGUGGUGAAGAUUGUAAAUUCAGGCCUCUUGGAUUUCUCCUAGGCUUGCCUUUUGCUUUCUUGUCUCUCAUAAUUUCUCUUGUAGGUGCAGUUAUUUGGAUUGUUGGGUAAGUCCCUCUCUUUUCCCAUCUAUUAGCUAGCUGUAGUAUUUUCUUUGAAAAUAAUAAUUGAGAACAAGUUAUGAAUGUGUUUGAUGCUAUAUAAUGGCAGGUUGACUUUGACAUGCAUAUGUCCAUGCUGUCUUUGCGUGACCCUCAUAGUUGAAUUUGCUCUGGCUCUCAUCAAGGCUCCAAUUAAGGUUAUGGAGUGGUUCACAUCCAAGAUUCCAUGUUAGAAGAGAUAUUUGUAUUUUUAUUAGACUUUGAAGUUACAUGGUGCUAACUUUAGUACUAUUCUUUUGUUGAUUAUCUUUUAGCUUGAUUCAUGCAUUAGUUUAAACUAUUAGUACUCUCCUUGUCCUAAAAUGAAUUUUAAUUUAUCAAAAAAAAAAAAAAAGAAUUUUAAUUAGAAACUUUCACUUCAACUUAACUUUCUCUUCAGCCUAAUUUUGAGCAAAGAAAGAAACAGUAUUCUAUCACAUAAGUUUGAUUGAUUGUAGGACUUAUUAAUGUUGAAAAUGUUUUUGUCUUUUUUUCUCUUAGUGGUUUGUAUCUUUCUUUCAAAUUAGCAAAAUAUUCAAAGAUGAAAUGAGCUCCCGAACUGUUAGUUUUGGCUUGUAUCCUGUUAUUGCGUGUACACUUCAUAUAACCUCUGUUUCACUUUCAAGCAAUAUAGAGGAUGAAUUCAAGUAUUUAUCUCCAACUUUUGUGUUUAUCGGAUUUGUAUCAUUUAGUUUAACCUUUCCUUUUUUAUACUUUGAUGCUAACAAUAACGUUUCUUGUAUUUCCUAAUAUCUACAAAAACAAAAUAUUUGUAAGAAUUGAACCCAUGACCUUCACUCAUACAUAUAGAGAUCAUUACAAUUAUUGGGCUGUUUUUUUAAUAGAAGACUUCAUGUAUAAGUAUAACAUCCAUAACUUAAGAAUGAAUUUUAUAAUAUGUUUAGAAGGCAAAUAUGUUUUUCAUCCUUACACAAUUUUUAAAUGUUGUUUUCCUUCCUCAUAAAAAAUAAAUCACACCUUUCAAAAAAAUAAAAAGAAUUCACACUUUUUUUUAGAUAAACGAAAUGACAUGACAGUUAUUAUAAAUCCACUCACAUAAGUGAAGGAGUCGAGGUUCUUACUCUGAUUACAACAUUUGACCUAAUAAUUUUGACAUUUUCGUCAGUUGAGUUAGGACAUGUGGACUCACACUUUUUUAUUAUUACAAAUAUAUUUAAAUUUUUGCUGGGAUGUGUAGAAAACAAAAAAAUCUAUAAAAAACACCAUGCUUUUUUGAUAACUAGAAAUACUAGCUAUUUAACUUUUACUCAGAAAAUAUAUUUACAAACUUAUUAAAAUAAUGUAAAGUUUUGCGUAAUAUAAAUUAGGAGUUAAUCGGUGCCUCCGGAGCACUGGUUAAGGAACCUAAAAAAAGAAAUUUUAAAAUAAAAAUAGCACUUUUCAUGUUUUUGAUGAGUUGACAACAUAAAUUCUAAUGUAAUACUUACUACAUUUGCUUUCUUAAUCAAUGCCCUGAGACACCGGUUAACAUUGUCCUAUAAAUUAACCAAAGAUCAAAAUUUUACUCAAUACGUUUUGAUAACUAGUGAUACUAGCAAUUUAACUUUUUUUUUUUAAAUAACCAAACACCAUGUUUAUGUCUAGAAGGCAUUUUUCAUUCAUUGCAUAAUGGUUUUAAGUCGUAAGUGUGAGUGAUUAAAAAGACAUGUAACCACAUUAUGUUAGAAAAUGUACUAGCUUCUUUUCUUCAAAUCGAAUAUAUCUGUCUUGAGAAGACCAUUAUACCUAGAUAUAUACCUAGCUUUUUUAAGGGAUGAUACGGCUACAUCACAUUAAGUUAAUUCGCUUAAUCCAACCAUUUUAAUAAUCAAUUGCAUACGAGAUAUUCUCAAUUCCACAUAUUCACUUGGCAUUCUAAGUUAUAUCAAAUGUUAAGAAUGAUAAAUCAAAGAUAAAGAUCAUAUUUACAAAUAAUUAAUUGAUUAUUUGGUCAUUCGUUUAAUCUUUUAACUUAAUUUUUUUAUCAAUUUAAACCUCAAUACGUUUUUGUUUAUGAUGUAUCGUUGUUGUCAUUAAAACUCAGUUAAGUCAAAAGGAUAUCUUCUUCACAUCAUAAUAGAAGUGUGAUAAAACACAUUAUCAAAAUACGAAAAAUAUUAUUACCAUUUUUUUAUUAUAAUUUAUUUUUAUCUCAUUCAAGCAUUUGACAAAUCCUCGAUUACCAUAAAAUAGAAAGUGAAAUAUAUUAAUUUGAGAGUAAUGUGUAUAUUAUUAAUUAAAUAUUAAAAGUGAAAGUAAAUAAAUUAAUGAUUUUUGCGUCGUUAAUGUUGUAGAUUUAAAAACAUGAUUAUUUUGGUGGCUUGAAAAUAGUUGUAUUUGUAGGAAUAUAUUCAUUGUCAUUUUAUGUUAUUAAUAUAAAUAUUGUGAAUUUGUUCGUAGAUUCAUUUUUUUUGUUUUUGAUGACUUUGAAUUUGUAUUGUAUAGAUAUACUCUAUCAAUUUAAACUAAUUAACAUGACACUUAUUUUGAAAAUAUUUUUUUUUCAACCAACUAGUGUUAUUAGAUCUUGCUAAAGGGACUGUACUGUUGUAGCAAAUCAAUAUUUAAAUCAUGACUGAGAGGAGAGAGGUACAUACUUUAAUGGUCCGGCGACGCAUCUUGUCAUGGAGAGAACUUAUAAAAAACAAAAAAAAAAUAUCAUUCCAAAUAAAAAAUCAUGUGUUGCAAAGAGAAGUUAGAGGGAAAGAGAACACUUUGUCAAUGUUGAUAUGUAACUCAACCUUGUGCAACCGACAUCUCAUACGGAUUACGACUAUAAAUCGUCCAACUUCUACUUUAUCAUAGAGUGUGUUAACUUGUGUAAUAUUCAAUCCCCCGUGCAUAUAGUUUAGUUGAUGGUGACUUGCAUUGUUAUAAAAAAUUAUUUAUUCUGAUUUUUUUCUUUAAUUUUCUCUAUGUUUUCUUAAUUUGCAAUGAUAAAUAUAUAUAAUAUUUUUAUGUUUAUUAGUAAUCCAUCCCGUGUUUUUAAGCAUAUGUAAAAAAUAUAUUUCUUAUCAUUUAUAUUUGUCCACAAAAAAAAAGUGUCUUUUUUAUGUAUCAAUCACAUAUAUGUGUUGAGUUUUGUUAACGAGUGUCUCCGAUCCGGACACUCUUUAAGAAGAAUUUUGCUCUUCACCCAGCACAAAACACUCGCAUCCUGCAGGGUGCGAGUUAACUAGCGCAAGUGUAAAUACAUAUAUUUUAUUAAUAUGAUUCAAACAUUACAUAUAUUUUACCCUCUUCGGUAUAUAUCAAUAGCUCUUGGGGAAAAUAGUGAUCCGUCUUGUAGGGGAAAACGACAUCAAGAUCCCUUGAGUUAAAUUUAAAUUUGGUUCCUUUUAUACCCCCAUGAUGAUUCUUUUUACCCACGGUAAAAAGAUUUUGGGAGUAAAAGGAAGCAAACCUAAUUUUACCUCAAGGGAUGAUGUCUUUUUCCCCAACCUAACGGAUCACUACUUCCUCAAAAGCCACCGAUAUUUACCUAAAGGGGUGUAAAGACCCUAGAGACUAUAGAAACCAAGAAGAAGAAGAAGAAGAAGAAGAAGAAGAAGAAGAAGAAGAAGAAGAAGAAGAGAAAGAGGGGGAGAGAGUUGGAGGAGAAAAUGUAAGGAAAAGAGGAAGUAUGUGAGAGUUUUUCUAGGUGGUAUAAGGUAGAUAACACUUAAUGAGGUUCAAAAACGUGUGGAAAAAAAAACGUGUAAAAAGCAAUCAAAAGCAUUGACCACCGUCCCAAAAACGUUUGUGCUUCAGUUUUUACCACCGGCCAACUUGCGCAAGUUAACUCGCGUAGAGGCUCAGUGGGGCGUGACUUAAGUCACGCAGAGCUUGUGAAGUGCGUGAGUUAAGUCACACAGCGUGACUUAACUCACACAUGGUUAUAUUUGAAAAACAUGCAGGGCGCGAGCGAAAUGUGCUGGGUGAAAAGCAAAAUUUCAAUUAGAAUUCGAAAAGAUGAAAUUAUUUCAUAAAAAGUUAAAUAUUACAAUUUUCAAUGCAUUGAUUACAUAGAUUUAAAUACAAUAAAGAGUAUCGCAGAAACACUCGUUAACCUUUUCAUAUGUAUUCUUUUGUGAGAACAAUGUUAAUAACGAGAAAACCUCAUAUAAAGAGAAGUUAUGUUAGAAGCUCUUCCAUCCUUUACCACCUACCUUCUUAACUCAUCCCACUAGUGAUGAAUCCAGAAAUUUUAAUAAGAGGGGCCAAUAUCUAUUUAUGAUAAAUAUUUAUAUAAAAAUAUGUAAAUGCAAGUGGCAAAAGUAUGACCUCGUUAUCAUUAAAAAAUUGAAGAUUUAAAAAGUUAUAUAAUUGUAUAUUCAAAAUUUAAAUACACCUUAAAAUCGAAGAAUUAUAAUUGUUUUAUACGUGUUCUCAUAUUUUGAAAAUGUUUAAGAUUUUUUUCUUUUCAUUUACAACAUUAUUAAAUAUAUCAUUUUAGAUGUAUGUUACCGAAAAAUAACUCAAUUUUUUACGUAUGUUACCAAACAGUCCCAUUUACUAAACAAGUUGGCCUUAGUUUUUUUUUUCUUUUCUAUCCUUUAACAUACAAACUUAUUACUUUCAAAAUACGAUAUACCUACGAAAGAUAUCAAUAAUUUCAUUUUUUAAAUUCUUAAUAACUGCCUUUAACAACACCCAAAUUAUAUAAUUUGUUUUCGUAUAAAAUGUGAAGAGAAGCUUAUUUUAAAGUUGAUAAAGGAAAAGUUCAUUAAAGUCGUCAUUUUUAUAACCUAUGAUUUAAAUUUAGGCUUGAGUUAUGUUCUAUAAAGCACGGAUACAAUACAUAUUAGAUAUGAUGAUAUUUUUUUUUGAAGGAAGGAAUGUCAAACGUUGAAAAAUAUAGAAUAUGAUAUAUUUAAGAUUGGUAUAUAAAAAUUAAAAUAAAUUUUGUUUGAGGGUAUAAAUUAAACAUCAUUAUUAGUUAAAGAAAAACAAAUCUAUCCUGUUAAGAAUCGUUAAUUGUGUUUUGCUGAUUGUGGUGGUAUCACGGAGGAGCUCAGAAAACAAAACAAAACAAAACCCAAACAAAAUAUUAUUAUUUAUUUCUGGAAAGUUUGAAUCUUGUUCUUAAAUCUAAAACUCCAUCCAGUUCGUGUAGAUCUCUCUCGGUAAUAGCACGUGAUUCGUGUAUAUCUGAAUUUUCCCCUGAACUGAAUUUUAGGGGGAAAAUUGGGGGUUUUGGAAAAUGAGGCGUAGAGCAACAGAUUUUCGAAGGCCAGUACGGAGAAAGGUUCCUGAUGCAUUGUGGUGGGCAUUAUGCUGUGCAGUUAUUCUUCUAUUUAUCUAUAUUCUUACAAGAGGGACUCAAAUUGAGUCUAGACCACCUUUGUCCAAGGUAUUUUAUUGCUUUUUCCAGAUCUCUCUUCUCUUCUUGUUUGCUCUGCUGAAAAAUUUGUAUGAAAACCCAUCUAAUUUCUAUUUACUAGACUAAACAGCUAGAUUAUAUUCUCACUUCAACUCAAUAAGUUAGGAUAAGAUGUUUCUAUUUACAAUCUCAAUAAUUUAUAUGGAUGUGAAAAAUUGAAACAUAAGUUCUUUAGAGCUUAGCUUAUAGUAUGCUGAGAUGAUGUUGGAAAUUCAUUUUGUUUCCGGAAUUAUGUACCAUGUGCUAGUUGACUAUAUAUGCCUUUUCAUUUUUCAUUUAUCGGGUUGUGCUCAUAUGUUACUUGUUAAUUUCUUAUAUUUCUUGUUUUCGGCUCAACUGGAUUUGUGUGAGAUGUGAGUUGAAUGGAAUUCUACAUCAGAUUUGUGACAUCACACGACAAUUUAAAACUCGGUAUCCAUGUUUUGAAAACUCAGUAUUUGAUCCAAGAACUGACUAAUCCGAGGGUACCAAUCCCUAUUGCGGGGGACCCAUUUAAAGCCAGAGCAAAGUUUUGUAUGGACUUGCCCGCCGAAAUUGGCACCAGGGGAAAUCGAACCUGAAACCUUGAGAGGAGCAUACUCCAAGAUUCCAAGCCAACCACUAGGCCAACCCCACAAUUUGCAAGUUUUUAAUACAUCACAUUGUUAUAUUUUCUUUAAAGUUACUACAAUUAUAUGAAGAGCUUAUUGGUAAAUGUUUUGCAAUAGGCAGAAUAGUGAUACUUCCAUGUGUUCUCUUGUUGCAAGUUAUGUCAGGCGCAUUUCAUUUCCGUACUAUAGAGAAAAACUAUUUUCCACUAAAUAUCAUUUUUCUUCAUAAUUUCAUUUAUAGUAUUGGAACUCUAACAGAAUAAUGCGUAGAUCAUAAUAGUACUUAAUCUUGCUUAAGUAAUUGGAACAUAGCUUGCAUGGCAUGCUUAAAUUCUUAUUUCAAAGCUGGAAUAUUAUAUUAGGGGUCCUUGUUUAGCCAAUAACUUCUUGUAACAUGUUGUGCAGAGAACUUACAAAAAUGAUAGGAUUAUGGAAGGCCUUAAUAUUACCGAAGAGAUGUUAAGUUCCGACUCGGUGACCAGACAACUUAAUGAUCAGAUAUCCCUAGCUAAAGCUUUUGUUGUAAUUGCAAAAGAAAGCAACAAUCUCCAAUUUGCUUGGGAACUAAGUGCUCAGAUCCGCAAUUCACAGAUUCUUCUCUCAAAUGCUGCCACUAGGCGUUCUCCUUUAACAACCAGAGAAUCAGACAGUGCUAUCCGAGAUAUGGCUUUAUUGUUAUACCAGGCUCAGCAGCUCCAUUAUGACAGUGCAACUAUGAUCAUGAGAUUCAAAGCAAAAAUCCAAGCCCUUGAAGAACAGAUGAAUUCUGUAAGUGAAAAGAGUUCAAAAUAUGGACAAAUAGCGGCUGAAGAAGUACCAAAAAGCUUAUACUGUCUGGGUGUCCGGUUGACAACUGAAUGGUUCAAAAACCUCAAUUUGCAAAAGAAAUUGAAGGACAAAAGGCAAGUGGAGAUGAAGAUUAAGGAUAAAAAUCUUUACCACUUUUGUGUGUUCUCUGAUAACAUCAUUGCAACUUCAGUCGUGAUUAAUUCAACUGCAAAAACUUCUAAAAAUCCCAAUAUGAUUGUUUUUCACCUUGUCACUGAUGAAAUAAAUUAUGCUUCGAUGAAGGCGUGGUUUGCCAUGAAUGACUUUCGUGGGGUGACUGUGGAAGUUCAGAAGUAUGAAGACUUCUCAUGGUUAAAUGCUUCAUAUGUUCCUGUGCUUAAGCAACUUCAAGACUCAGAAAUACAAAGCUACUACUUUUCCGGAAACAGUGAUGGUGGAAAGACACCUAUCAAGUUUCGUAACCCUAAAUAUCUGUCCAUGCUUAACCACUUGAGGUUCUAUAUCCCUGAAGUUUUUCCUGCCCUGAAGAAGAUUGUGUUCCUGGACGAUGACGUCGUGGUUCAGAAGGAUCUCUCUGAUCUUUUUUCAAUUGAUUUGAAUGGGAAUGUUAAUGGAGCUGUUGAGACAUGCAUGGAGACAUUUCAUAGAUACCAUAAAUACUUGAACUAUUCUCAUCCUCUUAUAAGAGCUCAUUUUGAUCCCGAUGCAUGCGGAUGGGCAUUUGGGAUGAAUGUAUUUGAUUUGGUUGAAUGGAGGAAAAAGAAUGUAACUGGCAUCUACCACUAUUGGCAGGAAAAGAAUGUAGAUCGGACAUUGUGGAAACUCGGCACUUUGCCACCUGGAUUGUUAACAUUUUAUGGACUAACAGAACCCUUGGAUCCGUCAUGGCAUGUACUGGGUUUUGGCUACACAAACGUUGAUCCUCAGUUGAUAGAAAGAGGGGCUGUACUGCACUUCAAUGGGAACUCCAAACCUUGGUUGAAGAUUGGGAUUGAAAAAUACAAGCCCCUAUGGGAAAAACAUAUUGAUUACUCUCAUACCUUUUUGCAGCAAUGCAACUUUCAUUGAUUUUGAAUUGAGCUUUAAUUGGAACUUCAAAGUUCAAACCUUGGUGGAAGAUUUGGAUUCACAAGCACUAGUCACAAAUGGUGUAUAUUGGAAUAAUACAUCAUUGACCAUUCCAUCCAAUCCUCUAUUGCAACAGUGAAACAGUUAUUGACUUGUGGAGCUGAGAGGUUUAUUGAUCCUUAGAUGCAAAAUCCAAUUGAGGUAUUCAUUCUGUAGUAAAAAAUGGUUUUACAAUUUUAAAAGGUUAAGCAUGUUUGGUGGCUAUAACAUGGCGUAUUCAUUGAUUCCGGAUCUUCAGUUGUAGCAUAUGGAUGUCCAUUUCUGUUAGACAAUAUCAGCUCAUAGUUUCUUCUUUGUGAUUUUAGUCAGAGUUGAGAUCUGCUGUAAACUUAUUAUUGUCCCUUAUUACCACUAUUCUUCAUUGCAAGACCAGAUACAUUGUUAAUUAACUACUACAGCCUUCUUGCUACUGUUACUGACUUUCUUGAUCCAAAAAGAAACUAUGAUUAGAGUUUUAUGGAUCUUUUUAUCGAAACUAUCUUGCCUAUGUAUUCUCUAAUCAUGAUAUUCAAUAUCCUUUUGUUGUUGGUGUGGAUUAUUUUAUUUGAUUGUCUCUCAUGUGCUAGGGGUCAUGAACUCAUGAUAGAAAUGAAAGAAACUUUUUAUUCAUUCACAUUUACUCAUACAUUUUCGUUCACUUGAUUUUUUAUUUUUUUAUUUUUAAUAAUAAGGUCUAAUCAUCAUAGCAUAGGGUCUCCAACGCCUACAAACACACAAAUGGGAAGAGGGAAGGGGUGUUGUGGUUCAACCAGCAAUGACACACUACUCAUGUCUUUGUUUUUUUUAAUGGCAAGUGUUAUUAGCUAAUUUGUUAUAUUAAUAUUUAUUCAUUCGUCCGGUUUAAACCCAUGAUCUCCAACUUAUUUUCCUUUAGUUUGUUAAAUUACUUUUUUUAAUUGACUCAGUAAUUCUUAUUACCUGAAGUCCUGAACUAAUGUUACCGUUACUUAUGAAGAACUAUCCAUUGUAUGUAGUGAUUCAAAUAGUUGAGAUUGCUUGACAGAGCCUAUGUAUUAGCAUAUUAUAAGGUUAGAUUAGAUGACACUUUUUCGCAUGAACUUUGUAUUACUUAAUUAGAUUGGAUGUCAGACUCAUAAAAAGAUUGACAGUCUAGAUAAUAUCUUAAAAAGAUCAGACCAUAAUUACCAAAAAUCUAUUAAAGGUAACAUAUCAUAUUUGAGCUCUUUUUUUUUUUGACAAACAAUCGUAUUUUUACUUGAGUCUUACCUUACAAAAGAUAAACAAAUACAUAAAAAUAUGAAAAAAUAAAAAAUAACUAGACAUACCCAUGCCCAUGCUUUGUGCGGUGGAAAAUGAAAUUGAAAUAAUUUGUGCAGAGUAUAAAAAAUAGAUUUGGGACACUUGUUAGCUUUUUCCUAAAAAAUAUGUUGAUUUUGGGAUAAAAUCAAGUGUUAAAAUAUAUUUGCUUUUAGACAAAAGCAAAUUGAAGAAAUCAAAAUUACCCAUUUCAGAUGUUAUUUCACAUUUAUAUCUACUAUUAUGAAGAGUCAAAUCCAUGAGGGAUAGAGUGAAAGAAAAAUGAGAGAGGAGCUGAGAAUUUGUGAGUCAGUUUAGAAGGAUGGUGACUUUGAAGUAAGGGUGGCAAAAAUACCCAAGCCCAUGAGUACCUGUGGGUAAAAUCUGCCACGGGUACGGGGCGGGUAGCUAAACAGAUAUUUCACUAUCCAUUAUUAUAUGGAUACGGACACGAAUUUGAUUGUAUCCAUAUCCACGGGUACCCAUACCAGAUAAUAAAUUAAGUAAAUUACUAAAAUAUCGUUAUAUAACUUAUCUUACUGUUAACUUAUUGAAGAAAAUUUUACCGCCCACCUAAGAUUCCUCAUUAGUAACCUAUUUUUAUUUUAAAUUUUUCUUAAUUCAUCUUAUUAAGUUCACCGUUUUCAUUUCGUUCAAAUCAUAAAACAUAUUCUAUGGAUUAGGUAAGAAUCAUGAAUUAUCUAUGGAUUAUGUAAGAAUCACGAAUUUUCUAUGGAUUAUGUAUGAAUGUUUAAAAGUUGAAGUCUUUUGAUAAUUAAAAAAAAGUUAUUAUUUGUACUAAAAAAUAAAUAAAUUCAAAAAUCCAUUGAUACCAUGAAUACCUCAAUACCCACGGAUACCCACAUAGUGGGUACCUACGAGGGUACGAGGCGGAUACGUGUAUCAUAUUUAUCCAAUGGGGCGGAGACGGGUAUCAUACUAUCCGUAUCUAUGGGUACCCAUUAACAUCUCUAGUUUGCGGCUUUGAGUGAGAUAAAAUUAAUUAAACAAUGAAUGGAUGAAUUUGCAUUAGUUAGAGGAAGACUUUUCAUGUAUUUUUCAUGCCUUGUUGCCAUAUAUCAAUAGUUGAACGUGAUUAUGAAUCAAAUUUUGGAUUUAGUCAAUCAUAUCAAAUGUUUGAAACUGCAUCUAAAAGCAAAUAUAUUGAUACCAUUGAUGCAUAUCUAUAGUUAGAGUGCCAACGGAUGUUUGGCAUGACACGUCAAACGCAUAAAAUAAAAUCAGUUUGAAGAAAUCAUAUCUAUUGUGGUAAAUCAAUUUGUGCAACACACAAAUAUAUGUUAUACACCAUGGAAAAAUUAUAGUAUUGGCUAAUAAAAUGGAAACAUAUUUAGACCAAAAAAAAAAAAAAAUGGAAACAUAAAGGUUCACAAACACUCUAAAAAAAUUGUAAACCCUAGAAUCUAGAGAAGAAGACUUUUGUCUUUUUUUUUUAAAAAGGCUUUUUGUGACAUAUUCCAACUGAGUUUGGUUUUCCUUCAUUUUUUUUUUUCAUUUAGUGUUUAUUUAUGAGAGAGAUAUACAUAUAUGAUAGCUUUGUGAUUAAGUAAAGCUCACGAAAUGAUCGAAUAUGUUUAUCUCUCUUAAAAUAAAUGGAAAAAAUCAAAAUUCAUUUCACAUAUUCAAUGUAAAAGAGCUAUUAAAGUAAGAGUUUUGUUAACUAGUACCCUAAGCAUUAAUUAAAGAAUCUAUAAAUAAAAAAUUUGUGUUAAAAUUAUAAGUUGUUACUUUUAACCAACUAAUAAUUACACCAAUUUUUUAUAAAAGUUUAUUUGUUAUCAUUCUUCUUCUUAAAAUAAAGUAAAAGUACCAAAAUAAAGUACUCUUAAAGCUAGGGGAUCCACUUAAACCCCAAAUUAAAUUAAGAACAAAAAAGUAAUUAAGCUUUUGUUUAAAAAAAGCAACAAACUAAGGUGGUGGCUGCUAGCAAGUAGUAACCGGUUGUGGCUAGAUUAAGAAAAAACCUCUGUUCUCUCAAAAGAAAAGUUGAAAACUCAAAUAAUUUAUUCAUAUUUUUGACAAUUUUCCUAUCAAAUUGUCAAAAACUGGUCCAUCCAAAAACGUAAACAAAGAAUGACAGAAAGAAAAAAAGGAAGAAAAGUCGAAAUCCUCCAUCAUAUACUAAUCAAAAACCAGCAAACAAAAGCAAAACCACCACUACCCCCAAAUAGCCAAUCCAAUGAAACCGAAUAGAAUAAUAUCUUUAGUUCACAGAACCUUCGACAUUAUUCAUGCCACUAUAUUAAUUUUCUUUAGCAUAAAAACAAAAGUGCAUUUUAGUGCAUAGUUUUUUUCUUAUGCUCCAAGGCAUAGCACAUGGUUUCCAUUUUCCAAAACCAAUCAAACUUAACCAUAUUAAAACCCUUUCCUAAACCUCUUCACUUCACAUUCACAAAAUCACAAUCACUAUUAUUCACUCAAACAAAGUUAACAAACAAAUUAAUCAAACACAUAAUCAUACAAACUAUCAAACUCAAUGGAAACUUCACCUCCCAGCUCAGCUCCAUCCACCGUCCGUCCCUUCACCUGUGAUGGCACGAUGGGCGGCCACCUUGCACGGCGGCUUGUCGAAAUCGGCGUUCGCGACGUCUUCUCCGUUCCCGGCGACUUCAAUUUAACUCUUCUUGACCACCUGAUCGCUGAGCCGGAGCUUAACCUUGUCGGUUGCUGUAACGAGCUGAAUGCUGGAUAUGCUGCUGACGGUUACGCACGUGCCAAGGGAGUUGGCGCGUGUGUUGUGACUUUUACAGUCGGUGGACUUAGUAUCCUCAACGCCAUUGCCGGAGCUUACAGUGAAAACUUGCCGGUGAUUUGUAUUGUUGGAGGACCUAAUUCUAAUGACUAUGGUACUAACAGAAUUCUUCAUCAUACUAUUGGUUUACCUGAUUUUUCGCAAGAGCUUCGUUGCUUUCAAACGAUCACAUGUUUUCAGGUGAGCAGUUAGCAACACCAACACUCAUACUCACUCGAGUCAACAAAAGUUGAUGUAUCUGGUUCAAAAAAAAUCAAAUAGAUGUAUUUGGUUCAAAAACAUAUACAUCAACUUUUUGUUGACCCAAAAUUUUCAUCCGUGGGAGUAAUAGUUUGAGAAUAUAGAAUAAUUGAAUAUAACGCGUGUCUCGGUGGACAUGUGUCAGACCAUGCCAGUGUCUGACACCUGUCAGUUAUCCGACACAUCUUUAAUAUGAAUUGUUGUUGCUACAUAUAUAUCACACAUGUCUAUUUUGAUCACUGAGAAUUUGAUGAUAUUGUGGUGUGAAUUUUUCAGGCAGUGGUGAAUAACUUGGAGGAUGCACAUGAACUUAUUGAUACUGCAAUUUCAACUGCUUUGAAAGAAAGCAAGCCUGUUUAUAUAAGCAUAGGUUGUAAUCUUCCUGCAAUUCCUCAUCCAACUUUUGCUAGGGACCCUGUUCCAUUUUUUCUUGCACCAAGGUAUGUAUUUUUUGCUUACCUUUUGAAGUUUCUUUUAUCUGUUUUGCUUAUGAGUGUGAUCCUUUUAAAAAGAAUGUAUGACUAAUGGUAGUGAUGGGAUAAAGCUUAUGAGUGUGAUCCUUUUGCUAGGGACCCUGUUCCAUUUAUUAUUUAUGUGAUGAAGUUGAGUUACUAAUUAUAGCAUUCUUUCAUGAGUUGUAAGUUCUGUGGUACGAGUUUGACCUUCGAACUUCAAGGGAUGAAGUUCAAAUUCCCUGGAAGACAGAUGUUAAAUGGCCACUAGAGCCACUUUAAUUAAUGAAUAUUUAUCCUUAUAGUAUUCAUGGAUCAUGUUUGUUCAUACAUUCAUAUUUGGCAUUAGUAUUAUGUUAAAGAUAAAUACACAUUUUUACAACUAUAUGCAGGGUAAGCAAUCAGGAAGGGUUAGAAGCAGCUGUCGAAGAAGCGGCUGCAUUUCUGAACAAAGCUGUGAAGCCAGUUAUCGUGGGCGGGCCAAAACUUAGGGUAGCAAAGGCGCAGAAGGCUUUCAUGGAGUUUGCAGAAGCUAGUGGAUAUCCAAUAGCUGUAAUGCCCUCCGGUAAAGGACUUGUACCAGAAAAUCAUCCACAUUUCAUUGGAACAUAUUGGGGUGCUGUUAGUACUAGCUAUUGUGGGGAGAUAGUGGAGUCUGCUGAUGCUUAUGUUUUUGUUGGUCCCAUCUUCAAUGACUAUAGUUCUGUUGGAUACUCGUUGUUGAUAAAGAAGGAGAAGUCCUUAAUCGUGCAGCCCAAUCGGGUCACCAUUGGCAAUGGUCUUUCCUUAGGUUGGGUUUUCAUGGCUGAUUUCUUAACUGCAUUGUCUAAAAAGGUGAAGAAAAACACCGCAGCUGUGGAGAAUUACCGUAGAAUCUAUGUUCCGCCGGGCAUUCCUCUGAAGUGGGAGAAGGAUGAACCUCUUAGAGUUAAUGUACUAUUCAAGCACAUUCAGGUAAUUUCUAUUUAUAAGCUUCUUUGGAAAGAAAAUCAGUCUAGGGAUUCUUUGGCAUAAUAAUAGUUUUGUUCAUAUAUACAAUUGUAGUAACUAGCAAAUGCAUGGUUCCUUUUCUAGAUUUAUCCUGUUAAAUCAUGUGACACAGUAUUUAUAGAAGUAGAUUCAUAGUUUGAAUGUAUGUUUUGAUUGUGAGUGGAUUAGAGGUGUAAAACAUUGCCCGAAAAUGAGGAACAUAACAGUUUCAGAUGAUUAGCUGUUGAUUACAUUGCUAAAUAUGCAAUAUUGUUUGUGUGGUUUCCAUUAAAUUACUAUAUUAUUGUAAAAUUUCCAUUUAGUUCAGCAAUUAAAUGUGUUGAACAGGAACUGCUAAGUGGAGAUACUGCUGUAAUAGCUGAAACCGGUGAUUCAUGGUUUAACUGUCAGAAGCUUCGUUUGCCUGAGAAUUGCGGGUAAGUCAUUCACAAUUUUUGCACGAGUAAUAUGAUAAGUACAAUCUCUGCAAUCUACAUUGUUGGAACUAACAUUGGCGAAUGUGGAUUCUGUCUUUCAGUUAUGAAUUCCAGAUGCAGUAUGGAUCAAUUGGUUGGUCAGUAGGUGCUACUCUUGGAUACGCACAGGCUGCAACCAAUAAGCGUGUGAUUGCAUGCAUUGGUGAUGGCAGUUUUCAGGUUAGUAACAUGAUAAGAAAGGAAACUUUGUAUUCAGAACAUUAAUGUUAAGUUUCACCAGCAAGUAAGCCUGUUCAUUAAUUUAUUUUCGGAUGGAUGUAUGAUGCCUUAUUAGGUGACGGCACAGGAUAUUUCAACAAUGAUCCGUUGUGGACAAAAGAGCAUCAUCUUCCUCAUUAACAAUGGAGGUUAUACAAUUGAAGUUGAGAUUCAUGAUGGUCCAUACAAUGUGAUCAAGAAUUGGGACUAUACCCGCUUUGUGAGUGCCAUCCAUAAUGGACAAGGGAAAUGCUGGACUGCCAAGGUUAGCACAAAACGAACAAUUUAUCUUGUACCACUGUUUUAGUUUAUAAUUUGGUUGAAUGUUAAACACAUUAUAAUUUGCAUUAUGUCAUGUAGUUGAAUCUUUAAAACUUUGUGAGUGUAGGUACGUACGGAGGAAGAUUUGAUAGAAGCAAUUGCAACUGCUACUGGAACAGAGAAAGAUUCACUAUGUUUUAUAGAAGUUUUUGCACACAAGGAUGACACCAGCAAAGAGUUGCUAGAAUGGGGAUCCCGGGUUGCUGCUGCUAACAGCCGUCCUCCUAAUCCCCAAUAGAAAAUCAAUUCCUAAUCUGCAUUAUGCAUAAAACAUUUAUAAUUUGUAUAUUUAAUUUGGUGCAUUUUAUAGUGGAGGACAUCUAUAGGAUAAAUGCGACAAAAAAUGAAAAAUAAGUUGGAAUAAAUACUCGAUUUUUUUUUUACAUCCAUCUUGUCCCCAAGUAUUGCACUUUGUUGUUAUAACAUGAACUGUUGUAGCUUUGCUAAUGACAUCCUUUUGUAUGUAAUUCUUAUUACUUUAUUUUUUUAAUUGACUCAGUAAUUCUUAUUACCUGAACUAGUGUUACUGUUACUUAUGAAGAACUAUCCAUUGUAUGUAGGGAUUAAAAUAGUUGAGAUUGUUUGACAAAGCCAAUGGAUUAGCAUAUCAUCAGGUCUAGAUUAGAUUACACUUUUUUGCAUUAACUUUGUAUUACUUAGAUAUAGAUUGGAUGGCAGACUCAUAAUUGAUAGGCUAGAUCAUAUCUUAAAAAAGACCAGACCAUAAUUACAAGCUUAAUUGCAUUUUUGGUCCCCAAAAUUAACGCACACGUGUAUUUUUUUUUAUUAUUUAAAAAAUAUUUUUUUAUUUUUUAAUUAUUUAAAAAAGUAUAUUUUUAAUUAAAAAAAUAAAUUAUUUUUUAUUUUUAAAUUUAAAGAGAUUAUUUUUUAUUUUUUAGAAAUAUUUAUUUAUUUUAAAUUGUCACAUCAGCGAAGACAAGUCAAAAUUGGUCUUGGGGUCAAAACUGCCAAAGAUCCUAUACAUAGGGAGCUGUUUUGUAUUUUAAUCAGUUAGACGGCCAAAAUUGCAACUUUUAAAAAGAUGAAGGGCCAAAAGUGCAAUUAAACCUAAUUACAAAAAAUCUAUAAAAGGCAACAUAUCAUGAUUACAAAUAGUAUAUCCAUUUAUCAAUUAAAUUAUGUAAAAAAAAAGUAUAUCCAUUAUAGAGAUAAUAUUCAAUGUAGUGAUAAUUUUUAAAUUUGACAUUUUAAUAAAUAUUCUAUUUCCACACAAAACUACUUCAUUGGUGUAUAAAAUUCUCUAAAAACUUAAAAAUUGUUAAUUUUGUUUUGAUUUCUACUAAAUAAAUCUAGUUUUAGUCUGUUGUUGGUAGAUAUAUAUUGUUAUUUGUGAAAACUACUCAAUAAUGUUUAGAUAGGAUAGAAGUAUUUUUUUGGCUUAAUAUAUGCUUUAGUCCCUUAACUUAUUUUUGGAUUUUAUUUUGGUCCUCUAUAUAUAAAGUAUCUCAAUUUGAUCCCAUAUGUCUUUUGCCGUUACCUCUUUUGGUCAUAUCCGUUACAUUUUAACUGUUUGGAUCUUGUAGGUUUACUGUAAGCCUAUGGUGAAUGAUUAACACUUGAUUUUUUUGAAGUAAAAAUUAUAUAAAAAAAUUCAUUUUUUAUAAAAUAUGAAGAAAAAAAUAUUCCAGAUUUUUUUUUUAUGAAUUUUUAUAAAAUCAUUUUCAAAAUUGGAAAAAAAAAAUUACAAAAUUUUUAAAAAAAGUCAGAUUUUUUUUUCCGAAAAAAAAAAAGUUUUUUUAAAUAUUUUCUUACAAAAUUCUUGAUAAUAUUUUAAUUUUUAAAAAUCUGGAAAAAUAUAUAAAAAAUUAAUAUUUUAAAAUUAGAAAGAAAAAAAAACAUUCCAGAAUUUUUAUAAAAUCUUUUCCAAGAUUUAAAACAUUGAAAUUUUUUUAAGAAAUUUCAAAAAAAGGUCAGUUUUUUUUCUACAAAACUCUGGAAAAUAUUUUAAUUUAAAAAAUCCAGAAUUCUGAAUUUAAAAAGGUUAUAAAAAAGGUCAUAUUUUUUUUUACAAAAUUCUGAAAAAUAUAUAAAAAAUUCAGAUUUUUAUAAAAUACGAGGAAAAAAAAUUAUUCCUGACCUUUUAUUUUUAAAUUUCGUAAAAAACUUAUUUUUUUUCAAAUUUUGAAAAAAAUAUAAAAAAUUCAGGUUUUUAUAAAAUAUGGAAAAAAAAUGAUUCCUGAAUUUUGUAGAAAAAAAUAAAAAAAAAAAAUUUCUGAAAAAAACUGACCUUUUUUUCAAAUUUUAAAAUCUUGGAAAAGAUUUUAUAAAAAUUCUGGAAUAUAUUUUUUUUCUAAUUUAAAAUCUGAAUUUUUAUAUAUUUUCCAGAUUUUAAAAAUUAAAAUAAUUCCAGAAUUUUGUAGGAAAAAAUUUAAGAAACAUUUUUUUUCGAAAAAAAAAUUUGGCCUUUUUUUAAAAUUUCGUAAAAAAAUAUUUUUUUUUUUAAUUUUGAAAAUGAUUUUAUAAAAAUUCUGGAAUAUUUUUUGCUUCAAAAAAAUCAGGUGUUAAUCAUUUACCAUAGGCUACAAUAAACCUACAUGAUCCAACGGUUUCUAUUUCAAAAAUAGAUCAAACAGUUAAAAUGUAACGGAUAGGACCAAAAGAGGUAACAACAAAAGACAUAAGAGACCAAAUUGAGACACUUUAUAGUUAGGGGACCAAAAUGAAAUCUGAAAAUAAGUUAAGGGACAUGUUGAAAUUAAAGUUACAUGUUUAAAUUUAAACUUAAACACGAAGCAGUUAUAAGACUUACCGUUUGGCUGGUUUUUUUUUUUUCUUCAGCUUUUUUACAUUUUUAAGGAGAAGUUAGGCCCGAACACAAUAUCAAUAAAAUACCUUCGAAAAAAAAUACCUUUUUUAGAAUGAGUAAAAUUGAAUGGAAUGAGCUUUAACCAAAAGUUGUUGAAUGCUACUUCAAAAAACUACUUCUCUGCAAUUUAUUUCACAAACACCUCUCUUCAACUCACACGGCAACAUAUUCUUUUAUUUUUUAAUAUUAUAUUUCAAUUUAUUUUUUUUUCUUCCAUUUAAUUUAAUUUUAUUUUUUUGAACCGGUCCAUAUAAUUUUUCUUUGAAGGAGGGUCCAUUUAAUUUAUUUUUUUUAGAGAAGGGUCCAUUUAAUUUUAUAAUCUAUUAUUGAAGGAAUUUUAUUAUAUUUUUUAUCACUUAUAUAUUUAAUUUCAAUAUCGUUUAAUUAUCACAACCUCGCAAAUAUUUUUAUUCAUGCUGUCAUUGAAUGACACCAAAUAUUUUUAUUCCCUUUCUUCAACCUCACAAAUAUACACACACACAUUAGCAUUUAAAGUGAUAUUUUAUGUCCGUAUGUAUGUUUUUUGUUACGUUAAUGCGUAUAAAUUUUUAAUGUUGUGUCGUAUAAUUAUUUUUAUAAAAUUUUGAUUUUAAUUAAAAGUACAAGUAUAGAUGCGUAAAAAAAAUACUUAUAUAUAUAUAUAUAUAUAUAUAUAUAUAUAUAUAUAUAUUACACAUUUAUAUUGUAACAAACUAUGCAUAUCUUUUUCUUAUUAAAAAAACUAAACAUAUCUUUUUCAAUGACACCAACAAUGUAACAAAUAUAAUAUCAUAUAAUAUAAAUUUUUAUUUUUUUAAAUGACACCAAAAUUAUGGUAUUCCUAUAACAAAAUUUGUUAUAUAGUAUAAUUGGAAAAGAAAAAAAAUAGAUGCAAGGUCCUGGGUUCGAACCCCGAACACCACAAAAAAAUAAUAAAUUCAAAGUUUUGUACAAUAUUUUGCCAAACAGCUUUUAACUCAAAAAUAACUUUAGAAUUAAAAAAAAUAAAAUAAAGAAACCAAACAGCUUUAGCCUUUUUCUUAAAGAGCUUUAUUUUAACUUUGUUUUAAAGUAGCUUUUAGAUCGAAAAAAAGCCUGGCCAAACGGUACCUUAGAAUAUUAGUCGCCGCAGUUGCUUGCUAAAACGAAAUCUUUUUUUUCUGACCCUCUUUGCAAAAAAAAUACCAUGUCUGACCCCCUAUGAAAAUUAUUCACCAAAAUGACCCACUUUUUUUUUUGUCAUCCUUUUCCUCAUUCCUGCCAUUUGAAACGGCGGGAAUGAGCCGCCGUUCUGACACAUGUCACAUCGUGACUGGCCAGCUAUUUUUUUUUUGUCAUUACCGCCAUUUGAAAUGGCAAAUUUUGCUCCCAGGGGAGUCGAACCAGGCGCGUAUGGGACAUUGCCAUUCUGUGUUGCCACUAAGCCAAUGUACAUUUGAUGUUAAUUUUCGCAUCUAAUAAUAUAUACCCUUUUUAAAACCAGUUUCACACACCACAAACCAUCCAGUUUUUCAUUUUUGUUUUUUUUUUAUUGGAUAAUUUAGGAUAUCCGACGAAUAUAUAUAUAAUUUAUUGGAGAAAAAUUAUCUGACGAAAUAAUUUUUUUCACUGAUAAAUUAUAUAUAUAUAUAUAUAUUAUUAUUAUCUGACGAAAUAUAUAUUUUUCAUCGAUAAAUUAUCCGACGAAAUGAUAUAUAUAUAUUCAAAAUAAAAUAUAGAAUCCAAUUAAAAUUAUAAAAUCUGCUAUAUUUUUUUUUUGUCAAAUAGCCUAGUGGCUAGAGAAAUUCACCUUAAAAUCUAAGCUCAUGGGGACCUAUAUAUAUAUUUUUUUAUAAGACUUAUAUUAAAAAAACAAAAAUGUUUUUUUUUUUUUAGGGAACAAAAAUGAAAAAUUGGAUGGUUCAUGCCUCAUGGUGUGUGAAACUGAUUUAAAAAAUGGUAUAUAUAUUAUUGGAUGCGAAAAUUAACAUCAAAUGUACAUUGACUUAGUGGGAACAUAGAAUGACAAUGACCCAUAACCUUCUGGUUCGAUUCCCCCGGGGUUUUGAAAUUUUUUCUCAAAUAAAUUAAUAUGUAUAAAUGUACAAAUGUUGCCCAAAAAAGCAAAAAACGAAAAAAAAAAAUCGGUCCCGCCAUACAAAAAAAAAAAAUAGCUGACCAGUCACUCCGGGAAUGAGGAAAAGGACAAAAAAAAAAAGGGUCAUUUUGGUGAAUAAUUUUCAUAGGGGUUAGACAUGCUAUUUUUUUUUUGCAAAGGGUCAGGAAAAAAAAAAAAUCUGCUAAAACUUCUACUCAUCUUUACUGUAGCUCAAGUUAAAGUAGAAAACUAUCAUUUUUUUUGUGGGGACAAUGGUAGGUAAGAAGGAAGGAGUAUAAUAUACGAUUCUGAUAUCUCCUUUAUUAGAAAAAAAAUCUUUGAAUCUCAGUGCAAGUGGAAUCACACACCUAAGCACGACUUAAUAAAAAAAUCUGUCUUAAAAUAGUUAUUCAUUUUACGAUAAUGGUAAGGUUCUCUUAAAAUGGUUGUUUCCCACUUCCACAACAAAUUUCUCAUGGCGUCUGGUUCUGAACAGCGAUGGAGCACUGUAACAUUACAAUUACUUCUUGUAAUUACGGUUUCAGCACCGUUAUUCACGGCUGCAUGCUCCUCUUACUCUUCCAUCUUCAGCUUCGGUGAUUCCAUUGCCGACACUGGCAACCUGUAUCUCAGCUCCCAACCACCCUCUGAUCACUGUUUCUUCCCUCCCUAUGGCCAAACUUACUUUCAUCAUCCGUCUGGACGUUGCUCCGAUGGACGCCUCAUCAUUGAUUUCAUCGGUAUAUACCAUCGUCAAUUUGCUAGCUUAAUUAUAAGUUAUCUGUUAUAUAUUUUUAACAGCAGAGUUUAAAUGUUGUUAAUAUAUUACAAUUGCAGCUGAGUCAUUGGGAAUUCCAAUGGUGAAACCAUAUUUAGGAAUUAAGAAUGGUGUAUUGGAAGAUAAUAGUGCAAAGGAAGGAGCAAAUUUUGCUGUUAUAGGAGCAACGGCGUUGGACGUUAGUUUCUUUGAAGAGAGGGGUGUUGGUUUUAGUACCAAUUAUUCUUUGACAGUUCAAUUGAAUUGGUUCAAGGAACUUCUCCCUUCUCUUUGCAAUUCCUCCAAAAGUAAGUUCUCAAAUAUUCUCAUUCAUCAUCAUCAUCAUCAUCAUAAUCAUUGAGUAGUAAAUCAAUCGUAAAGGUUUGACCAUUUUCAAAUUUCAAUGGUAUAUAGGACUAUAGAUGCCCGACCCCAUAUAGUUAAAUUGGUAAUUUACUCAUCAUCUCUACCCACCGGCACCGCACAUCAUACAGACCCUACCGAUUAUUAAAUUUUAUUUUUGUCUUCUUGUCUACACCUGUUAUGGUGAUAAGCUUAGUAUUUUUUAUUUAUUUUACGGAAAAGUCCAUGGAAAGCACGUGUAUAUAAAUAAAAGGAAAUGCUAACGUUUAAGUACAUUUGUAAAGAAAUUUUAAAGAGAAAGUUUAUUUUAGACUCCAAUGAUGAGGUCUUUAUCAAUUAAGAUCCGAUAUUUAAUAGAUAUUUUUAUUUGAGAUUUUUUUUGGAGACUUUUAAGAUCUAUGGUCUCACUUGAGACCCCACAUAUUUUAUAAAAUAAUCAUUGUUGAGUUGUUUUUGUUGAAAGGUAAAAAUGAUAAAGAGUUAUUGGUGGGAUCCAUUUAGACAUUUUAUUAGAAAGUCUCCAUUGAAGUGGUUGAGUAUUUUUUUUUUUUUUUUGAAAGGGGAGUGAUUGAGUUCUUAUUAGGUACUAUUAUUAAAAAAUUAUACAAAAAUGAUGUGUACAUGUGAGAGACUCGUUUAAGACUUAAAAAUUGAGGGUCUCCACUGUGUACAUGUGUAUAUGUAAAUGAUGUAUUCAACACAAACUUUUAAAAUGAACUUUUUCUACAUCAAAUUCAUAAUUUAUUUCUCUUUUUUACUUCUUAACUAGUACCCUUAAAGCACAUGUUAGCAUAACCUAAUAAAACAUAAAACAAACAAUAAUAUGCAUCUGCAUAAAUUUAUUGUAGUUUUUUUUUAUCAAUAAUGAACUUUAAUGUCUGCUGUCUGCGUGCAUCUGCAUAAAUUUAUUGUAGUUUUUUUUUAUCAAUAAUGAACUUUAAUGUCUGCUGUUGUGUAAUUUUAUAUGUUUUUUAUUAAAAGAAAAAGCUAACUUGUGUUCUUAAUGACACGUGAAAAGUUUAUUUUCUCAAUGGAAAAUUUAUUUUUCAUUUCCUCUUUUAGUUUUUAACUUGUGUCUUAGGGCACAAGUUAGCCUGACUCUUUGUAAAAAAAGAUGGGCUUAAAUGUGGCUUUCAUCAUCCUAUUUUCUCAAAAUUGUGACAUUGGUUCUCAUGUUUUUAAUUGCGCGAUUUUGGCCAUUCAUUUUAGAAUUUUCGACCAAUUUAUAAUUUUGACCAUCUAACUUAAUAAUAUAACAAUAAAUUAAUAGAUCUAACAUAAAAAUGAAGGGUUUAAUUAUUGAGUGUCUUCAUAAAUGGAGUGAUAAAUGAGUCAUGAUCAAGUAUACAAAGAGAAGAUCAUUUGUAGUUAUAUAAGGGGUUGGUGUGAGCAAUUUAGUCAAAAGCAUGAAUUGGUCAAAAAAUUGAAAUGGGGGAUCAAAAUUUUGCGAUUAAUGAUUGAGGAUAAAAACUGUGAUUUUAACAAAAUAGGAGACAAAAACUACAUUUAAGUCAAAAAUUUAUUUACCUGUGUCACAAGCUACGAAACGUCAGAUUCAAUUAGUGGUACACCCAUCUCCCAUCGGAGGAAUCCGAAUUUGAUGCAGUCAUAGACUGCACAUGCAAAACAUGUUUUUCUAAACAAAAUUUACCGACAUUGAACAUAUACCAUCUGAUCUCAAUCGAACGGUCAUAGAUCACUAACUGAAUGAAGUCUAUGAUUGCACACAAAUCAAAUUCCUAUUGGAGGUGGAUAUUUUUGAUGAAUUUAAAUUUCAAAAUCAUUACGAUUAAACAACAACCUAUGGAUAAAAGUCGAACAUAUGACUCACAUUCUCAUGUUUUAAGUAUGUUUCAUUGAACUAAGACUUCAAUACUAAAUAUAUUUGUAUAUAGUUAUAACUUUUCAAUAGAUUUAUAAUUAUAAUUUUAAUAAUAUAAAUUUGUUAUUCAAAUAUAUGAUGUAUAUACUCGGGAAUUUUUUUUCAGAUCCCCAACAAAACUGCAGCCUUGGGUGGUCGCCCCCUCGCCCACUCUUAAGGCUGUCGCUGAAUCACAGAUAAAAAUCACACAACAUAUUCGACGGAGAGAACUUAUAAAAAAAAAAAAAGACAAAAUGGAUCAACAAAUUAACAUAAUUGAAUUUAGUAAAAUUACUGAAUUGAGGUCUAAUCUUGCAGACUGCCAUGAAGUUUUUGCAAACUCAUUAUUUCUUAUGGGAGAGAUCGGAGGUAACGACUUCAAUUAUCCUUUAUUUAUACGAAGGAGCAUAGUAGAGAUUAAAACAUACGUGCCACAUGUAAUCAGUGCAAUCACUUCAGCAAUCAAUGUAAGAUUAUAUUAUAUGAAGCAAUAUCUGUCUGCAUUACUAUUAUUCGAAUUUCAACUUUCCAAGCAUACUUAAUUUUCUAUUUUAUGUCUUCACAGGAGUUGAUUGAUCUAGGUGCACGCACGCUCAUGAUCCCUGGGAAUUUCCCAUUGGGAUGCAAUGUAAUUUACUUAACAAAAUAUGAAACUACAGAUAAGAGCCAAUAUGACUCAGCUGGUUGCUUGAAGUGGUUAAACGAAUUUGCUGAAUUUUAUAAUCAGGAGCUCCAAUAUGAGUUACAUAGGCUAAGAAGAAUUCAUCCUCAUGCUACUAUAAUCUAUGCUGAUUACUACAAUGCUCUUUUGCCAUUAUAUCAAAAUCCCACUAAAUUUGGUAAUUCAACCCUCUCAACUUCUACUAUAAUUUUUUUUUUUUUUUUUUUUUUGAAACGGCAAAUAUUAUUAAUCCAAAACUCUCGCAAGACGCAAAGAGCAGUAGAAAGAAAGAAACUACAAAGAUACCGCCUAUUAGCGUAACAUUGCCCAAACAAAGCAAACCACCAAAAAAUCAACCGAAUAAACGGAAGAAAAACAAAGGCCGAAACACCCACCAAACUAGUCAAAGUUGGCAAAAGUUAUGACUCUGAAAUCUAUUUCUCACCGUCAAAAUUCAGACCCAUAGCCCAGCCACAAAAACAGCAGACCAGCCACCUAAAAAACCCCCAAAAAAUCAGCUGGAACUGGCGCAAACAGCAAGCACUGUUGCUGAACUGUCAAAAACAGCAGCACAUCAGCGCUGCCAGCAGAAGACCAGCACAGCUGGGACGCGAACCUGGCAACAAGGCAGCUGCAAAUUAACGCACAAAACAUUCGCGAGGACACCAACUCCACUCAUAAAACAUGCAAGCCGGAAUUGUGGUUCUACCGAGAAUCCACCUCCACGACAACACCUUCACCGCCUCCAUUAACUCCUCCCACGAAGCAACCUCAUUAUUGAAAAUACGCCCAUUUCUAGCUUUCCACAAAACCCAAAUUACCACCUCCCAAAUCAUCCUCAAUAGCUUUCGAAUCUUCUUAUGUAAUGGCCCCCCACUCCAACACUCCCAAUGAAUAAACAAAUUAGGCGGCAUUACAAAAUUCAAAUCGAGCCACAACUUCUACUAUAAAUUACCUCCUCUAACCUUGAAAUUUGCUACUUUAACGUUUAGACACAUACUCCCUCUGUUUUUUAAUAUAAGCAAAUUUUGACUUUUAGGUUCAUUCAAUCAAUAAUGUAUGUGGUCUAUAAUAUAAACCACAUACAUCAUUAAUUGAAUGAAUCUAAAAGUCAAAAUUUGUUUAUAUUAAAAAACGGAGGGAUUAGUAUAAUUGAGUCUAAACGUUAAAGAUAGUUUUGUAAAGUUGAAUUAGAUCUAAAACCAGAAAUUAUACUAGCUAGUUUAAUUGAACUACUUUAUUAUCUAGGUACAAAGUCUAAUAUAAUGCUCAAUGUAUUGUGUAAAACCCAAGAUUGAAGAGUAUAGAGAAUGAGUUAGUUUAGGACAUUAUUUCACAACUAAUGUGAUGAUUUUUAACUUUGAUGUCAAUGCAGGUUUUACAGGUCUUAAAAACUGUUGCGGGAUGGGAGGUUCAUAUAAUUUCGGAUCAGGAUCUUGUGGUAAACCAGGUGUGUUUGCUUGUGAUGAUCCUUCUCAGUAUAUUGGAUGGGAUGGUGUUCAUUUGACUGAGGCUGCUUAUAGAUUAAUUGCUGAUGGCAUCAUUAAUGGACCAUGUUCUGUCCCUCAAUUUAGUAACUUGUGCUCCGUGAAUGUGAGCUAUGAAUAUGGUCAUUUCAAUAGCUAGAACGUUUAUUUGCCAAGCUGCCAUUAAUAGUAAUAAGGCUAGGCAAGGCAUCGUAUCUUUGGAGCAUAUACAAAAAUUCAAUUUUCACUUGCUGUAAUCAUAACAAUAAUUGUUUGACAAGUUUUAUUUAACAUUCAAUAAAUAAGCCUCUUAUUGGUGCUACUUGCAUCUCAAUGCUUUUUAGACAGAGAAAGGAAGCACAAAUACUAACACGACUACUACGUUAACACAUAAAUACAAUUUAUGAAAAUGGAAGUAAUUGAAUCUAAUUGCAUAUAUCGAUAUGGUGUAAAGUGUAGUUAAUUUUCUUAAAUUAAAAUCCAAAUAGUUUUUUUUUUUUUUUUUUUUUUAUCAGCCGUGACAUGUUUUGUUGUGAUAUGUUAUAAGUUAAAGUUUCAUAUUUGAUAGAAGAGUUGAAAUUGAACAACAUAUAAGCGAAAUAAUUCAUAAACCCAAUAUCUUAAGGUUUUCGACAAUUGCUCUUUAGGCACCUAAAAUCUUAAUAUUUCUCUACUAGUUAGACUACUAUAGUUAGAGGUGUAAGCGGUUCAGACUAAACCAACGAAACCGAAAGUCCAAACCGAAAAAAUAUCCGACCUUGUUCGGUUCGGUUUGAAAUCGAUCCGAACCAAUCAAUACUGAUUUAGUUUGGUUUGGUUCAUGGUUUUUCAUUUUGAGAUCCGUGAAACCGAUGAACCAAUCCGAUGAUAACCACACUCCUUAAUUCUUUUACUAAUAUUAUCCUCCUCACACUCACACAAAAUUAUGGUUAGACCCAAAAUUAAAGUCCAACUUAAACUACUUUUCAAUCCAUUCACUUUUUCUAAUCCUCAUCUCAUCUCAUAAGUCAGACUCUUUCAUUUCUACUAAAAAAGAAACCCUAUCCGUCAACCACACCAAACCCAUUGUUCAUCGCCACCGGCCACCGCUGAGAUCGUUCAUCUCUUGGUUAGUUUUAUCAUAUUUAUGCCAUUGAUUUAUACUCAUUAUAUUUCAUUGUUUUCCAUGUUGAUUUUCUAUGCCAUUGACUUGUACUCAUUAUGAAUCUUGGAUCAUACGUAUGAAAUAUUGAGUAAGGUUAGUUAUAAAAAGUUGUAUGAAAAAACAUAAUAUGAAAUAUAGAGUUAUACUAAGUUCUAUGAAAUAUUUUGUGAAAAUAUGAAUUUUUUUUAAUUGUAUUUUUAAACAAACCGAUCAACGAACCAAUCCAAAUCGAGCCAAACCGAUUAAUUUGGUUCGGUUUCUUUUUUGAAAAACAGUGAAAACUGAACCAAUCCGAACCGAUGAAGAUUUCAUCGGUUCAGACAUUUUUUGGCUGAAAAUCAAUCCAAACCGAACCGCUACACCCAUAACUAUAGUUAGUAUGUGACCUCUUUCAUGUAUAAAUGUGUGUUGUACACCUCAUAUUCAAUAAUGAAAAAUGAAACUUUAAUUCAAUUUGUUUCUCUCAUAAUAUAGUAUCAGUUUUCUCUCAUUUCUCAAGAGAGAAGUUACGAUCCUAACUACCUUAUAAACAUUUUUGGUUAUGCUUUCUUCCACUAUGAUUUGUCUUCAUCAAUGAUCUUCAUCCUCAUCGUCUUUGUUUGUUAUGCAACAAUUUCUUAAUUGUUUGUUCAUCGCUGCAAUCAGUUAAAUACGUUUUUCGUGAAUCAUUUUAUGAUUAUGUGUUUUGUUCUUCAUUAAUUUGUGUUUUGGUGAAUUGUGUUUCAGGUUAUUUACAUUAUAUCAUUCUUUCAAUCUUGACAUUUAUUCAAAUUCGUUGCUAAUUUGUUCAGUGUUUUUGUUUGAUUUUCAUCCCACCUUUGUUCUUGGUUGUGAUUUGAUCAUCAUUCAUUAUGCCUCCGCGCCUAAAUCUUGUUCAAAAUCAACCUAAAGAACCUAACUAUGAAUCCAUUUAUUAUGUUCAUCUAAUUGACAGUUCAAAUUGAGUCACUCUUACGCCCAAACUCAAUGAAUCCAAUUAUCUUGUGUGGAGUCGUUCUAUGCAACGUGCAUUAAGCGCGAAGGAAAAGCUUGCCGUCAUCAAUAGCACUGCUUUUGUUCCAUAUCGUUUGUAUUUGAAUAGAGGUGCACAGAAAUCAUGUAAUGAAUAAUGAAGCUUUCAUUCAAUUUUUCUAUAUUAAGAACCAAUAAAUAGGAAAUCACACAUCAUAAAUUUUUUCUCUAUUGAUUUGUCCCCUAUUUUUCGUACAAUUUCGUACAUUUUCUUAACUUUUCACACAACAUAAUAAAGGUACUAACAUUAUAUAUAGGCUAAUAAAAUUACAAAUAAUAAUAAUAAAAUAUACCAGUUUGGUCGACGUCUUGAGUUUAAAUUCCUUUUUUGAAUGACAAAUCAAUAGAUUAAAAUAUAUUUACUUUUUGCUUUCAUUGAGAGUUGAACUCAAGACCUCCCGCUUACUAAACGGGUGCUCUAACCAACUGAGCUAUGAAAGCUUUUAUAUCCUAUGCAUAUCAAAUUGGUUAUUUAAACCAAACUAAUCGGUUUAAAUUGCAUCUAUAAAUUGAUUAGAUCAUUGAUUUAAUCCUUACACUUCUUAAUUUUUCACUUAAAAAGUUUAAUUAAGAAAUUAUGUCUUGAGAAUGAUGCAUUCAACACGUUGAAAAUUUAAAAAGUUACUUUUUCUACGUAAAACUUAUAAAUUAUUUUCAUUUUUAAAUCCUUAAUUGAUAUCUAAGGACAUUUGUCAGCAAAACCCUUAAAACAAAAAUCUUCUUGAAACUAAUGUGAAUUUAUUGUCUUUUUGUGAGGAUCUCUCCUGAUAAUCUCAUCCAAAUUCUAUUUAAUAUAAUCUAUAGAAAAUGUUUGACGGACAUUUUAUAUGAAUGUAUAUAUUCUGAGAGAUCGAUAAAUAUAGUGAUAUAUUUUAAAAAGAGAUAAAUAGAGUUUUUUUUUUGACAAGAUAAACAAAGAAAUAUAAAUACAAAAUGAUUUUUUUUUUUAUGAUAGAAAUAUAAAAUAAGUUUUGUUGAAUAAAGAAAUAUAAAGUGAGUUUUUUUUUUUGUGGUGGCCAAGAUUUAAAUUCUGAACCUUGCAUAUAUUAUGCACUGUCUCUAUCAACUGGGUUAAGUUACAUAAAAUGAGUUGUUCAGUAAAUUGAAAAAUAUAGAUAUAAAAUUAGUUGACUAGUCGUCUAAAAAAUAAAAUUGUUUAACGAGGGUUGAAAAAUAUCGGGUGCCACAAUAUCAUUUUUAUCAUUUAUAUUUGUAACCAUAUUAAUUUGGGAUUAAAACAAGUUUUCUUGGGUCCACAAGUCUUAGUUCAACUUGUUUUUUUUUUGUUACACUUAGUUCAACUUGUUUGUGAUAUGAAAAACAUUAUGACCACUUAGAAAUACUUAUUCAGGUUAUAUAUAUCUCUUUCAAUGCGAGAUUCUUAAUACAUACUUCUCACAUUUAGGAUUAAGUGUGACCCGAGUGAUCUGAUAGCAAAAAUAUGAUAAAAAGUUAUCCAACCGAUCUUAAAUAUGCUCUUAUAUCAUUCUAUAAUUUCAAUUGAAGAUAACUAAACCAUAAAAUCAUCAUGGUGGAAGCUGAAGACUAUCAUACCCAAAAUUUGACAUGUGAAUCGUGACUCAAGCCACCCGAUAACAGAAAACUCAUUUUAAUAUUAAUCUUGGAUAGACUUCAAUAUUAUUUUAGAGUUUAUGAUCGAACUUAGUAUAAUUUCACAAAUCUGAUUUGUAAGGGAAUGAUACGCAAACAUGUGUGACAACCAUAUAUCUCUUUCUAAAGUGAGACUCUCAAAAUUUCUUGGGUGUGUUUGCUUUGCAAAACAGCAAGUACUGGACAGAACAGUAAAAUAUAGAACAGUACAACAUAAGGCAGAACAACACAGGACAAAUUUUUUAUACCAUUGAGUAAUUUUUUGUUUUAUACGAUUUUUGAGGAACAAAAUGCUAUUUUGGUAUUUUAAACAACUUGUAUGUGAGACAAAAAGUUGUGCUGUGGUUUGGUGAGAGACAAAAAUAUGAAUUUUUGUUCCGUCCCACCUCCAGUUUGUCUUGUACCUGAAACAGUUUUACAAAUCAAACACUGAACAACUAAAGUUGUUCUGUCUUUUCCUUCAUUUUUUUUUAGUAAAUCAAACACACUGUUUCUGUCUCAUCGAUUGAAACGUGGACAAUGAUAUAAAUGCAUUGCAGACAAUGUACAGCUUAAGGUGAAAAGAAGGUAUUGUUCAGUCAAUAACAAAAAAACCAAAUUCUAUUAUGGCUUCACCAGUUUGGUCCCUCCAACAACAAUGGUUAUUCAUUGUUCUGCCACUGGUUUUUACUACUGCUGCUACUAGUUGCUACUCUUCAAUCUUCAGCUUCGGAGAUUCCCUCACUGAUACCGGAAACUUGUAUUUCAUUUCCCAACCACAGAGCCCCGAUUGUCUGCUCCCUCCUUACGGUAAAACCCAUUUUCAUCAUCCCAAUGGACGCUGCUCUGAUGGCCGCCUCAUCGUUGAUUUCAUCGGUAUAACUCAAUUUCCAUCAUACCCUUUUUUUCCUUUUCACUUUAUUCUUUGAUAAAAAUUCAUUUUUUUUUGUAAAUUGCAACCUUGUUUAUUAUCUACAAAUUAUUAACACAGACACCGGACACUGACACAUUAACAUCAAUAAUAAUUUAAAAAGUGACAUAACUGAAUAGCUUCGGUAUUUGACAUUGACACUUGUAACACUAGACUUGACUUCUAUUAUAAGUGUUGAUGCUACAAAGUUUGUUAAUGUUACUGUUUUUGUGUGUGCUGGGUUUGUGAAGCUGAGUUUUUCAGGCUUCCAUAUUUGAAACCUUAUCUGGGUUUCAUAAAUGGUGGGAACAUUGAGCAUGGAGUGAAUUUUGCGGUUGCUGGAGCUACUGCGUUAGAUCGAAGUUUCUUUGAAGAGAAAGAGUUUGUUGUUGAAGUGACUGCAAAUUACUCUCUCAUUGUUCAGUUAGAUGGGUUCAAGGAAUUGUUGCCUUCUAUCUGCAAUUCUACUUCAAGUGAGGUUACCUACUAUUCGCUUUCCCACAUUUUGUUUUUAUAAAUACUUGUCCCAUUGCAAAUUUGCAUUUAUUAAUUUGAACCACGAAUUUGAUGGGUUGAGAAUAGUUUAUAGACUAUUUAUUAUAGUUUUAUAGUUAAGGGAUCAAAUAGAAGAGAUAAUGAAAGUUUAUGGAUCAAAUUGAAGAUUUACUCUUGAUUAUAUGAUAUGAUGUUUAAAUAAUAGAAAUUGACUGAGAAUUUUGUCUGGGAGAUAGUUUGAUUUAAAUAUUCAGUAGCUUUCCUAGUAUUUGAAUGUUGUUCUUCAUGUAAGGAUUUGAUUCACGAAAUAUUUAAUUGAUCUCAGUAUUUACUUAUUACUUUGUAUCCCUUGCUUUUUCUUGACUGUUUAAGUUGGUAAUUCUGGUUUAUGCGAUUUCAUUCUCUUUAGGCUGCAAAGGUGUUCUUCACAGCUCCUUGUUUAUUGUGGGAGAGAUAGGAGGCAAUGACUAUGGUUUUCCUUUGUUUCAAACAAGUGUAUUUGGAGAUCUUAUUACUUACGUACCCCGAGUAGUAUCUGUAAUCACUUCAUCAAUUAGGGUAAGAGUUUAAUUCAGUGUUUGAAAGUUGAGUAGUAGUUAUUUCAGUAUUCUCUUAUCCUCAUAUUAAGUUUCACAUUUUGAACAUUUACUUGUCACAUAGUACAUAUUAUUUGUCAUUUUACAAUACUCACAUCUUGUUUUUGUAUUUCAAUACACCUAACUUUUUAUCAAAUUACGUUAUUAAUAAGGAUAUUUUAGUCAAUAAAUCUCAUUUUGUGAUAGAAAUUAUUACACUCAAUUAUUUUCUUAAAAAAUGUGUAUAACUUUGAAGUAUGAGACACAAGGAGUAAGUUUUUCAAGCUCAAAAUCAGAUUCACGUUAAUGAAAUAGUGAGAUUCAGAUUACUCUUAGUUUUCUUUGAGAAACCCAGGUUUUUAAUUUGUGGUUUCUUUUUACUCCUGUUGAAGUCAUUUUUAAUCUUCAAUUAGUUUAUGAGUUUAUGCAGGAGUUGAUUAAUUUAGGUGCUGUCACGAUUUUGGUUCCUGGAAGUUUACCACUUGGAUGCAAUCCAGCCUAUUUAACAAUGUUUGCGACUAAAGAUGAAGAGGAGUAUGAUCAAGCUGGAUGUUUGAAAUGGUUAAACAAGUUUUUUGAAUACCAUAAUGAGCUGCUUCAAACCGAACUACAUAAGCUUCGAGUGCUGUAUCCUUUUACUAAUAUCAUCUAUGCAGAUUAUUUCAAUGCUGCAUUGCAGUUGUACAAAUCUCCAGAACAAUAUGGUAGUCUGCUUGCUAAUCCUCUUUACUUUUUAUGUCAUAUCAAUGUGUUUGUGCUGCAAGUAAGCAUUACAAGUUGCAACAUAAAAGUUCAGUCAUAUAGAACUGUUCAGGGUUCAGGAAGGAUACCAAACUGAAUAGUUAAAACAAUUUGGUAAAACGUAACCGAACUGUUCAUAGUCACCUUUAAAAAAACAAACUAUACUUUUUCGACAUUUUUUGCAGACCUCAUUGUAACAAAUUUUUAUUAUUAACUGAUAAUUAGGAAUGUUGAGAAAAGCCCAAAAUCGAACCAAAUUGAAUAGUAUGACUGUUUAAAAAAACUGAAGAACUGUUAAAUUGAACAAAACAGAGCUGCACCGGAAAGAACCAAACAAUCAAGGAUAAUUCGUGAACUCAACUGAACCGAACUCGGUUCAGUUCCUGAAUUGUCAAUCAUUGUUUGACUUUUUUCAGUGUGUUUUGGUUUUGGUUUUUUUAACAGCCCUCAUUUUCAUGUGAUAUUUAUAUUAUUAAUUAGUGGCAAUAUUGUCAUUUUGCAAUUGUCCACGAGGGAGAUUUUAACUAUGUCCUUUGAUAUUACAAGGUCAAAUCCUUACCACUAAACUAGCACCUCAUGGACAUUCAUGUGUUAUUUAGUCAUUGUUAUUAGUUAGAUAACAUGAAUCAAUAAUUUACAGCAGAACUAAACUAGAGAGUCUCUAUGUCAUGAAUUUUCAGUAUGCCACUAAAUCAUUGAAGAGUGAUACAAGGAUUUGCUUCACUAUUGUAACAGGGUUUGAUGGAAAUGCUUUUAAAGUUUGUUGUGGAGGUGGAGGCCCUUACAAUUACAAUGAUUCAGCACUAUGUGGAAACUCAGAAGUGAUUGCAUGUGAUGAUCCUUCAAAAUAUGUUAGCUGGGAUGGAUAUCAUCUUACUGAGGCUGCACAUAGAUGGAUGACUGAGGCUUUAUUAGAAGGACCAUACACCAUCCCUAAAUUUAGUUUCUCUUGUCUUAGUAGUGAGUGAGACCUUUGCAGAUUUCAUCAACUAGUAACUACGCAAUGGAGAGAAAAAACAAUGUAUUUCUCUAUGUUAUUGUAAAAAAAUAAGUCAAACAAAAUAUUAAUCUGAGUGGUUGAAUCCUACCGUCCACUUGCAGAGAUCUAUUAGAGAAAAACUCUACAUGGACUAACGACCGAAAUUGACACCGGAGGAAUCGAAUGAGACCUUGAGAGAAACAAACUCCAAGUCAGCAUCAUCAAACUAGUUUGGGUGGUUACAUAUUCUUAAAAAUGAGACUAACUCAUGUGGUUACAUAUUCUUGAAAAUGAAAAUGCACGCUCUGAAUAAAAGAUUGUAUAAAGUAGAAAAAUUGAACACAAUUUAUUGAAGUUCGAAUCAAUAAAUCCUACAUCUUUAUUGAGGUUGCCAUUAUCACUGCGAUCAUGCUGAAUGCUGCAGCACCAGUGUUACAAGACUUUCUUAGAAGAAAUUCACAGCCCCUCACUUGAACACUCUAUUAUCCCUCUUGCUCAACGAUUCUGCGAAACAAUCUCAAAUCCAAUUCAAUGGACUCUCAAGUCUCAAUAUUUUUCAAAAUCAACCGUUGAAUUGAAAGUUAUUAAUAUUUAUAAAUUUUGAUAUUAAUCCAUGAACAAUUCAUAUGUCACCAAGAUGUAUUGAAAAAAAGUUAUUUGUAAUUCUUUCAUCAGUAGAUAAUAGAACACAUCAAUAUAUUCACAAAAGAGUGUUAGUAACACAUCCUCUAACACAUGAGAAGAUCAUCUCCACUGGAAACUAUCAGUUUUCAGUUUUAUGUAGACAUUGAAUCUUUUGUCAAAAAAUGUGACAAUCUCUUCCCCUAAUGCACAUAUCCCAACACAUUUCUUUUUAUUGAGUAAAAUCCAUAUGGUCUCGACAAAAUUAUGAGGCCCACAUAAAUUGAUAUAAUUCAUAAAUUUUAAUCAAUAAAAGACAAUUUUUUUUUAAGGAAAAGAGAGUUUGUUUUGGAGUAAAUAGGCAAUUACUCAUCGAAAUUGUAAGUUUCGAUAAUUACCUCCUCUUAAAUUAACAAAAUUUCAAUUGCCCUCCUGAAAUUGCACAACGUUAACCAAUUUACCUUCUCCGUCAAAUUUUUCUGUUAGUCAACGUGACGUUUUUUUGCAAAUACCCCCUGAAGUUUUGCACUUAUUUGCAAAAUGCCCCCUAAACUUGAAAAUUUAUAUAUUUUUUCUUAUCCUUAAAAGUGGCUGAAUUAUCACCGACUUGUAGAGCAUAUUAGCUAAGUUUUGACGGUAUGCAGUACACGUUGGUGUUUACUGCUAUCCAUUCAUAAUAAAUUAACAGAAUUCUCAAUAUACACGUUGGUGAAGUACAAAAGUUGGUGUUUACUUGUUCUCAUGCAUGAGUACAAACAAGAAAAUUAUUUUGGUCUGGAUCGAUGGUAGCAUCAGAAUAAUAUACAAUAUGUUGCCAUAAUGCCAUUAGCUUAUUCAGCGGCUUGAAAAUACUACUCCCUCCGUCUUAAAUUGUAUGACGUUUUGGGCAUUUCACACAUAUUAAGAAAUAUAAUUAAUACAGUAUGGGGAAGAGAUAUUAUGAGUUGUUUUACAAAAUUAUCCUUAAUAAAUGAUAUGAGAAAAAUAAAUGAAAGAAUUGAAAGAAGAAAGAGUAAUAAAUGGUUAAGGAUAUAAUAGGAAAAGUAACAUUAAUGUUUUAUUGGUAUUAUAAAGUGAUAUACAAUUUGGGACAAAUAUUUUUUCUAAAGUCACAUACAAUUUGGGACGGAGGGAGUAUUAUAUACUGCUGCAAGAAACUUUCCUUGAGAAGAUGUUAUGUUUCAACUAAGCUGAACAAUGUGUACUUAAUAGAGGCAUGGGGAAGAACAAAACUUGAGAGCUGAAAUAAAAGCAAAGCUAUAAAUAAAAACUUAGCUAACGUUGGAAUAAAGAAAUGCGUUUAUGUUUGUUUUGUAAAUAUUUUUGAGUUUUAAACAUUAUUGUAGGGUUUACCAAUAUGUUUCAUAAUUCAGUGAUAAUGCAGUCACUUGAAAAAAAAUAUAAAUUUUCAAAUUCAGGGGGGAUUUUGCACAUAAGUGCAAAACUUCAGGAAGAUAUUUGCAAAACGUCAUGUUGACUAACAAAAGAAUUUGACGGAGGGGGUAAAUUGAUUAACGUUGUGCAAUUUCAGAGGAUAAUUGAAGUUUUGUUAAUUUCAAGGGUAAUUGACGAAACUUAUAAUUUCAGGGGGAUAAUUGCCUAUUUACUUGUUUGUUUUGUUGUAGUGUGUAUUUUUGACAUUAAUUUCAAAAUCAAUGUUCUAUAACUCACUAUUAAUAUGUUUAGCACUAGUGUAACGCCCCGUGCCAAGCACGGGAUAUAUUUUAUUAAAAUUUUUUAACAGAGUUUACCAAUAAAUAAGUUUUUUUAGAUAUUAUUUUGACUUUUUUAGUUUGAUUUUAUUCAGAAUUUUGAUACUCUGCUUAAAAUAGUGAGAAAAAGUACAACUAUGCUUAAAAUAUAAAAAUACUAUAAAUAAUUACUAUAUUCUUAAAAAUAUAUCUAAUUAAUAGGAGGCAUGAUUACCUCUGUUAUAAUCUACCAUUAUGACUUUGCCCUCUCUUUAGAAAUCUUCUGCAACCUCACCCCCUUUUUUUCGAAACCUUUAUCACUUAUGAUGUACCAACAUGCAACGAUGGUGCGAUGAGUGGCGUCGUCCCCCCGCACCACCCUUUUUCCGGUUCCCACAACAAUUUGUGUCGUUGGUUUCCGAUUCAACCAAUACCGAAUCUGCUACGGGUGGUGGUUGCUGAGUUGUUGGUAUUCGUAAAUUGUUGGCUGUCACUAGCGAUCUUGUUUGGUUCUGUGUGUUGGCUUCUCAAUGGCAGAAUCCCGCGUUGGUUUGGUAGAAACCCAAAAGGGUCCGUUCUUUAUCCUCUAUUUUGCCACCGUUUUAGACCUUUUUCGCCACCGUGUGGAUUGGUUAUGGUGGUUCAUUCGAAUCCGCCGUCUCCUCCCUUUCUUUGGAGGUGGUUGCGGUUCUACGUUGGGCCAAAAAUGACUGUUAAUUUGAUGUUGAUCAUAGCAGUAAACAGUUAGUGCAUGUGGAUUUGUUAAUUACCGUGUUGGCGGUUGAAUCUACUCCCCACUCCCAAGAAUAUGUAUGUCUUUUGCAACCCAUCAAUCCUUGAUUGACAUGAGACUGUAUGGACUUGAAAGAGUCAUUAAUGCUUGUUGCCGUUGUUGCAUGGGGUUGAUGGCACGUGAUCCGAUUUUGCGUUGACAAACGUGUAUCGUUGAUGGUAUUCGUUUGUUAGAAUUAAUUAGGCUCGAAUCCACUUUGUUGAUCUUUUUUUGAUGUAUUACCCGUUAGGGUGGAUCCACUUGGAUUGACUGGAUCAAAUUUUUUGUCCUCCAGGUUUUAUAUUUUUUUUUUCCUUUUUUUAAUAAUAUAUAUGGAACAACUGAAAAUCGAUUAAAAUAGGGUACCAACUUAAUUGAGAUUAUUCUUUUUGCUCCUGUCUUAUAAAAAUAUAAUAAAAAAUCUACCACUUUGAAUAAAGCUAUUACUUUUUUUAUUUAAUCAUAAUACUCUCUCGGAUUUCAAUUAUAACAAAAUAUUUAAGUUCAAAAAUUUACUUAUAUGCAAUUAGUUUUCUCGAAUGUUUUCUAAAAAAAUAUAAAAUUAUGAAAAGUACCAUCUAUUGGAACUUGUUUCAUGAGAAUAAAAAAAUAUUAAAAAUAAAACUUACAUGAAUUAAAAUGUAUAUUAGGACAACUACCUUUUAAAUAGAGUCAAAGUAUGUUAUAUAUUCUUUUUAAUUUAAGAUAAAAAAAAAUAAAAAAAAAAUCUUAAAUUAAAAAAAUAUAUAACUUACUUUGACUCUAUUUUAAAGGUAGUUGUUUAUUUUUUAUAUCUAAGAUUGGAGAGAGUCCCUAAAAAAAUAUUGGAGAGAGUAUUUCUCUUGAAAGCAAAUCAUCUCUAGUGAGAAAAAUUUGAGAAAACAAUUUUAUUUAAUCUCCUUUCUUCAUUUUUUUUAAUUAGAGAUCAAUGUCACAAAUUAAAACAAUCUAACCUAAUUUCGUUAUGUUUUAGUGUAGUUAUGAUUUCGAAUUCAUCGUUUCCCCUUUUUUCCAAGCAAACACUUCCUCUUUCUUAAUGUUCCUAACCGAAAUCCACAAACUAAAACCUCCAUCAAACAUGGGGAAGAAAAAGGUAGGAGAUCUAUGUCAACCCAUUCAAUUUCAUGCAAGUUCAUCAACUCCUCAAUGGUGAUCCUAAGAGUAAGGUUAAAAAAUUCUUCUGGUAUGCUAAUGUGGAAAUUGAUUUGAUGACAACUUGAUGAUAGUGGAGAGUAAUGAGAAAAAUACUCCUUUUUUAUAAUGAUUCGUGGUUGUAGAGUGGUCCUUUGUGUGAUAUAUCUAGAGGAACUUUUGAGUUAUAUCAAAAUAACUUUAUGCCAUUUAAGGAGAUACGUUGGUUAGGGUUGGAUGGGGUGGAGACGAUGUCAUAGAAUUUUUCUUGGAAUGAGGUGCAGGGGAUAUAUUGUUGUUAUUUGUUGGACAACAUUAUUUUUAAGGCUAGCGUUUUUGAUAAGUUUCUUUAAAGUUGAUCAUGGUGAAAGGUACCCUGACAAAGGGGUAUAUCAUCUAGUUGCAAGUGGAACAUGAUGAACCUAUGGCUCUAAAAAAUCUCAUUAGGAACAAAGUAGCUCCUUUAAAUGUCUCUAUCUUUUCGUGGAGGCUCUUGAAUAUCUAAAUUCUAAUAAAUGGCAACUUAGCUUGAUGGAGUGUUUAAAAUAUGGACUUAUUUUUAUGUUCUGGCAGAUGUGAAAAAGAGGAGAAUUAUCUUUUUUUGUAUGCUAAUGUGAAUUCUUUUACAGCAUAUGACAUAAUAUUCUAAAGUGGUUGAAAUUAUUGCGUUCUUCCAAUUAAUUAUUGUGAGUGUACUCUUCAUUUCAGUGGUUCUCAAUUGUUCCAAAAAAAGUUUGUUUUAGUUUUCAGUUGAUUUUGCUGACUUGCAUUUGGAUUAUUUGGAAAGACAAAAAUUCUUACAUUUUUGUCACAAGAACCAGUUUAUGGUGUUGUUAGAUAAAUAUACAUUUCUCGUUUACUGGAUACAAAAUGCUAAGAAAUCAUGUAUGUAUUUUGAGUUGAAAUGUUGGUGGAAUAAUCUUUCUACUUGUCUUGUUUAUUCUACCUCAUGAUUUGGUUCUUUUGUAUCUAUGCAUCUUGAACUUUGUAUUUUCCUUUAUUGGGCGGAUCUUGUGCUUGAAAGGUUUUUAAUAUAAUUGAUCUGAGGUCUUCAUACAAACAAAAUCCACCCCAGUCAAGAAACCAACUACAUCAAUAUAUAAUUUAUUGCAUGUUGUUAGAAAGGGAUGGGGGUUUGAAAUUAGUUUCAUGAUAAAAAUAUGAUUCAAAUUACAUUUCAUGUCGUAAGAAUCAUUAAAAACAUCAUAUGCAGUGUAAACGAAUACAUGUUUGUAGGGACCAAAAAAGAUUUAAAUAUAUUGAUUUUUGUGUUAAUUGUAAAAUUCAGUUUGUAUUCGUUGUGUGAUGGUCUAUAUGAACCACUGUUGCUAGCAAAAUCAAAUGAGGAAAUCGUGAACACCAUUCCCUCUUGGAGCUGCUCCUUGAACUUGUAAAUCAAUGUUCUUCGAAUAAACACACCUAUUCGAUCACCCUAGAUAACAAAGAUUAAAAUAUUAUACUUUAAACAAACAAAAAAAAACAAAAAACAAAAACGGUAUGAAAAAAGUAUCAUUCGAUCCAUUAGAACCAACUCCAUAGAAAAUGGUAGUUUUUUAUUUUUGUAGUCUUGAACAAACCAAGCACGAACAACCCUCACUACCAAUGUCCAGGAUUAUUUUCUUGGCGAAACAUCAGAGAUGAAGUUGUGUUUCGUAGACGUUUUUCUUUGCAAUAGAAAAAAUUACAGAAAUUACUUAGAAUAUAGAUAUUAGAGAACCAAAGAACAGAAAAAGAAGAACUAUAUUUUGUGAUUGUUGUGUACUUAUACCCAAAAGUGCUACUAUUUAUAUAGAAAAAUAGUACCAUAACGGUUAAUAUCUAUUAAUCAUUAAUUUGAUCGUUUUAAAAUUAAUAUUAUCAACGUAUUUAAAAUUAUAAAAUAUGCAUUAAACGAUUAGAUUAUAUUUGAUGUAACCUACAAAAAAAUUAACUUCAUAACAUUUGAAAUUUAAUAAUAUCUUAUUAAAUAUUAUGUAAUAUAAUUUUGCAACGAAUAAAAAUUAAUUAUAUAACCUUAAAAACUAAUUACUACAAUUAAAUUUUUAAUUAGUAGGUUACUGUCAUAGUGUAACGGACCAAAAUUCAAAAUAUAAUUUAUUCAAAUUAUUUAUUAUAAUUUUGUAACCUACCAAAUUUUUAAUGUACCAUAUAAAUGUUAAUCGAAUAAUAAUUAUAUUAAUAAUUAUUUGAUUGUAACGUACAAAUUUUUAAUGUAACAUAUAAAUUUUAAUAAAAACAAUUAUUAUAUUAAUAAUUAUUUGAUUGUAACCAACUAUGUAUUUUAUGUAGAAUUUAAUGAUUAAUAAAAAACAGUUUUUAAUAAUAAUUAUAAUUAUUAAGCUUGUAUUAAAAAUUAGGAGAAAUCUUUGGAACAAAUGCCAAGUAGGAUUAUGAUGAUGUGGACAUCUUUAGAGGAGAGGAUUUUGAAAUAGACUGUUUCUAAAAACUCUAAAUUGUUAGUAUAAAGAUAAGUGAACCAAUGCUAUGUAAACAUCCAAUUGAUUAAAACUAUACAAUAACUAGGUCUCACCAAGUUUUUUGAAGACAAAUUAUGUCUCACCAACAAAUGAAAGUAGGGUAAAAUGUGUUGUAUGCAGAUGAAUGAAGGUUCACAACCUGCAAAACAAUAAAAUGUAACGUUAAACCCGAGGUAUGACUACGUCAUUGUAUGAAGAAAUUAUCUGCAGAAUUAUGCAACUUUCCCGUAAUACAACAGAUUCUUCUCGGCGUUAAGCAUACCAAGACUAUCAAGAUACGGAUAAAAAUAUGAAGACUCAAUGACUCAGCCACUUAGUAAUUUUGUGAAAAUGAAAGAAGUGUUAAACAAUAUUCAGAAGCAAGUACAUAGGUAACAAACAAUUUUGUUACCUAAGGGCCUUGCUAACCAGUGUCCUAAGGACAUUGAUUAAAGAAUCCAUAAGUUGAAGUUUUGUCUUGAAAAUGUAAGCUGUUACAUUUAACCAAGUAAUGAUUACACAUAUUUUUAUAAAAAACUUACUUAUUUUAUUUGCUUAAUCAAUGCCUCUAAAACACUAAUUAGCAUUCUCCUCAAAAUGAUGGUACUCACCAUGUUAACUUGCCUUAAGACAAAGUAGGAAUAAAAUUCAACACUACAACCACACGUUUUUUAAUAGCUAAUCAUAAUAAUAAUAAUGAUAUUUUUAUUAUUAUCAUCAAAGUUGUUUUUAUUAUAGGAGUUCUUUUUAUGAAAUUUUGAUUUGAAUUAAAACUAAAAAUAUAAAAGUUUGUUGCUUUCAGGUUAUAACAAACUUUUAUUCAAUAAAGAAAUUAUAACAAAUCAAACUAAUCAUGAUUAUUUUUUUCAAUGACACCAACAAUUUAACAAAAAAAUAUAAUCUAUUUUUUUUUUAGUGACAUCAACAACAAUCUUUAUUAAAGAAAAAAUUGUUUAAGUGUAUAAUUGGAAUAAUGAAAAAGUAAUUAUAAAUAUACUCAUCUAGUUUGUUACACUUUUUAAAUGAUAAAGAAAAAUAAUCAGACAUAUAUAUAUAUAUAUAUAUAUAUAUAUAUAUAUUCAUAUCGUGUUUGUUACAUUUUUUUCAAUAUUUAAAUUUAUAUUCUUAUCUUUUUUUUUUGAAGAAAUAUUCUUAUCUAUUUGUUACAUGUGUUAUUUGUAUUGAAAAAUGAUGACAUUUUUAAAAAGAUAAAAUGUCAAUCCAAGAAAACUGAAAGGGAUUGUUUAUAUAUAUAUAUAUAUAUAUAUAUAUAUAUAUAUAUAUAUAUAUAUGCUUCUUCAAGUGGAUACUAUUGGUUUCUUGAACAACAUAGAGAUUGGAAUGUGAAUUGUAAUAUGAAUUGGCUUUGGCGCCUUAAAGUACCAGUAAAACUUCAACACUUUCUAUGACUUUGUUUUCAUAAUGCUCUCCCUAUUAAUGUCCGUCAGCAUCAUUGCAACAUGGUAGCUUCUCCAAGCUGCACCUGUUGCUCUUCAGCCAUAGAGGAUAUUCUUCACUGUUUACGUGAUUGUCCGCACUCUAGUGAGCUUUGGCUCCGCUUGAAUAUGGGGCGUUAUAAUAAUUUUUUUCUCUGAGUUUUUGAUGUCAAAGUUUGGCUUCAUGAGAUGACAAAGGGUACUUCCUCUAUUUUGUUUGUUGCAGGAGUAUGGUAUGCUCGGUGUUGGAGAAACAAUACUAUUUUUGAGGAUCAACAUUGGCGUAUUCAAGAUGUGGUGCGAAAGACAUUUUUGUUACAUAAUGAAUGCAUUUCUUACUAUCCCAAUCAUGGUUUGGACCCACACUCAUCGCAUCUCUUAGCUCAUUGGAUCCCCCCUCCGAAGGGUACACUCAAACUCAAUAUUGAUGGUAGCUACCUAGAAGAUUUUGGUUGUUUAGGUGCUGGUGGUGUUGUUCGCAACCACGAUGGAGAUUGGAUAGCUGAUUUUUCUCACCAUGAAGCUGGAGGUGAUGCGUUACUAGGUGAGUUACGUGCUAUCCAGAUAGGUCUUGAUUUUUGUAGUAAUAAAAGGCUAUGUUAACAUUAUUUGUGAGAGUGAUUGUUUGGAAGCAGUUGACCUGAUUAUUGAUGGUCGUGAUCAUACCUUACACACUUAUGCUACUAACAUCUUUCAUAUUAAAGAUGCUCUACAUGGAAAUGGAAAUACUAUAUUGGUACAUGUUCUCAUAGAACAAAAUAUGUGUGCAAAUUUUAUGGCUAAGGAAGGAUCACAUACAAGGUGCUCUGCUCACUGGAAGUGUCCUCCGUCUGACAUGAAAUCUCUCAUUUUGAGAGAUAAGUUUGGAACUUAAUUUCGACUCUCCCUCUUUUUUUCUUUUUCUUUUUGCCUCGUUACAUUGUAACACUACCAAAAAAAAUAUAGUAUAGAUAACAACUAUUGAAAUAACUAUAAAUAUACAACAAAAUGUUAGCAAUAAUGCUAAGAACUAUUCACCAUUGAAAUCCAUUGAUAAAUGGAGCUAAUAUAUUGAAAAUAGUGAAUUUUCUUAGUCAUGGCUUCUGAAAAGCGAUGGAGUACAUUGAUACUACUACUUGUAGUAAUGGCUUCUGCAUCAUUAGUCAUGGCAUCCUCUUCCUGCUCUUCCAUCUUCAGCUUCGGUGAUUCCCUCGCCGACACCGGCAACUUGUAUUUCAGCAACCAGCAACCCUCCCAUCACUGCCUAUUUCCUCCCUACGGAGAAACGUACUUUCAUCAUCCGUCUGGACGUUGCUCCGAUGGACGCCUCAUCAUUGAUUUCAUCGGUAAACAGUCAUUUAUACAACGUUGUGUAUUUUCAAUAAACAAUAUAUAUUAUAUUACUAUAGUAUAUUCCGUUAACUGUUGUUUGCAGCUGAGGCAUUGGGAAUUCAAAUGGUGAAACCAUAUUUAGGAAUUAAGAAUGGUGUAUUGAAAGAUAUGAGUGUAAAGGAGGGAGUGAAUUUUGCUGUUAUGGGAGCAACCGCGUUGGACAUUAGUUUCUUUGAAGAAAGGGGUGUUCACAGUGUUACCACCAAUUAUUCUUUCGGGGUUCAGUUGAAUUGGUUCAAGGAACUACUCCCUCAUAUCUGCAAUUCUUCCAAAAGUAAGUUCUCAGUUAUUCUGUUUUUGUGUGUACUCCCUCCGUUCCUUCUUACGUGUCUUUUUUGAAGAAAUUUUUCGUUUCUAUUUAACUGUCACUUGCAAAGUUCAAUGCAACAUUAAAUAUUAUUUUACCAAUAUUAUCCUUAGUUAUUUAUAGCGGAGAGAGAAAUGUAUGAAAUGAGAUAUUAAAUGAAUAAGGUCAUUAUAGUAAAAACACAACUUAUUGCAUCAAAAGUAGUAACAAUCAUUGACUAUUUUGGUUUAUGUAAAAUGUCAAAAUGAGACAAUUAAAAAGGAACGGAGGUAGUAACUUUUUUACAAAAGUUUGUGUAAUCGGUGCAUUGAAAAUUGAAAACUUUGAUAUUUUAAAAAAAUAAUUAUCUAAUUUAGCAUGCUUAAAGAGUGUCUGAGACACUCAUUAACAAGACCCUUACUUUAGUGUUAGGAAUCCAUCGAUAAAUAAAAGUGUUUGAUGUCGUUGGCGGAGGGCCUAUAUGACUAAGGUGGGCCAUGGCUCACCCCAGAGAAAAAAAAUUAAGUUUUUUAACAAGACCCUUACUUUGAUGUUAGGAAUCCAUCGGUAAAUAAAAGUGUUUGAUGUAGGUGGUGGAGGGCCUAUAGGACUAAGGUGGGCCAUGACUCACCCCAUUAAUUUUUUUUUUUUUUAUAUGGGAAUUAUUAAAAUAUUUUUUAUUUUUAACUAAAAUUACCUUGGGGUCCACCAUCUUCUCAAUCUCCGUACGUUUUAUUAUCACAAUUUCAAGUCAAUGGAAAUGUAUAAUCAAUUAUCUUGAAUUUUUUAAUUUUUAAGGUAUGUAAUUUAAUUUUUUUUUAUGCUAAAUCUUGUGUUUAAUGUUUAUUAUAACAUAAAUUUUGUGUUUAUAUUAUAGUUUAUUUUUCUGGCCCACCCAAAUAAUUUUUUCUUGACUCCACCAUUGUUUGAUGUGAUAUUUAAACCAUAAGAUUCUCCCACUUAAUAAAUUAAUCUUUUAGGUUGGACUUUUCUCGUAGGCUUAAGUCCUAAUAAUUGUUAUUUUUACCACGGAGAAGGUUAACUGGAUUAAGGUGUUCUACUAAUUGGUGAUAGAUGGAUUGGACUCUAUUCUCAUGAGCUUAAGUGGUAAUAUUUACUCACUACAUUUCUACACUUGAUAUCUUCGAACUGUUUUGCAUUUCUCUCACAUUUUUGUUUGAGUGUGUAUUUUCUUUUGAACGUAAUUAUGUGCCACAAAUAUAGGCGAGUUUGUGUAGCAUGACCGACAUAUAUUUUUUUUUAAAAACAAAUAUAUGUGCUGUCAAUUUUUAGCACCACAAAUGAUUCCCAUCACGUGUUUUUUUGGGUUGGUAGGUAGGUGUUUGUUGUCAUGACAGGUACUUGGUUUAGAAUGCAACCAUAAGUCGUACAAAUGCCAAUAUUCAUCAUAAUGCACGUUUAUAACGUAUUAGGAGUUUCCUUAAAAAAAAAAACGUAUUAGGAGUAGUUUAAUUGAAAUAGAUGCACAAACAAAAAGAAAAAAUAUAAAAGAAAUUGAUUUCAUUCAAUUUUGAUAGUUUAAAUGGACUCCAUUCAAUUUUUAUAUUAUUUUACGCUUAUUAAAACUUUAAAAUUGAUUUCACUAAUGUUACAAUAUACUUUCAAUUUCUUAAUUUUUAAUUUUACAAAUUUUUUAAUUCGAAGACACACACGAAAAACAUUGAGGUGAGUGCUCUUCGUGGGUGGAAGAAAAAAAAGGACACAACAACCCCAAACUGUUUCAAAUUUUAAGGAGAUUAAGCUUUAAGUGGAUCAAACAUUCUGUGUAUAUUUUAACCUGGCAAACCUUUUCAAGCUAGUAGAAACACUUACUUUUCUGGUUUUUUUGUUAAGUAUUUUUUCCUUAAAAAAUUACCAUAUUUUGUUUUCCAUCUUCAUAAAAAAAAAGUUGCAUGUUAGCAUCCCUGCAAAAUAUUCUGGUAUGCAAUUUUAGUCCUUAUUAAAUUUAAAUAUGAUUGGUUAUCUUUAAACUUUUAAAUUUUGGAGUGUUCUUUUUACAUACAUAUUUAGAACAUGAUAAAAAGUUCAUCCGCAAAAAAAUAAACUCAAAAUUUGAUUUUUAGGACCACAUAAUUGUUACUUUUUUUCUUGAACUUUUAUCAUCUUAAAAUAUCAUAUUUUAUUCAUUUCAUGUUAAAAAAUUAUAUUUUUUUUUUUGUAAAAAAAAACAUUUUAUAAUGUCCUAAACAUGUUUUCAAAAAGUCAUUAAAAAAAUUAUUUGAUUAAGGAUAAUUAAACAAUUUGAAUUUAACAUGGACUAAAAGUGUGAUGGAAAUAUUUAUAAUUAAAAAUGUGAUGGAAAAUUUUAUAAGAACGAAAAUGAAAAAUAUGUCACUUUUUUUAUUAUAGAGACGAAAAACCUAUUUGACAUUUUUUUAAAGGCAAAAUUUUAUCAAGAACACUAACUCAAACAGAAGGAGUACAAGGACUAGAUCAAAAUAUCACACAACAAAGUUACAAGAUUUGCAGGGAAAAAACUCUAAAUCACCUAAACAUGAUAUAAGACAACAAUUUAUCCACAGAAAUUUCUACCGACAACAAAAUGAGCCGUUGUCACACCUCCUCAACACUGGUUUGGUAAGAAUUAGUUGUUGCGAGUUGAGAAAUGUAUUUGUAGAAUUAUUUUCUAAUAAUUUUUGUGACAAUUUUUUCUCUUAUAUUCACAUUAUAUUUUUACUUUCUCUCUCUAUUACUUUGAUAUUUAUGCCAAUACACAAUUUUCUUUGUAAAAAUGUGAUUGUCCAUUUGGUUGUCAAGCAAAUUGAUGUUCAAAUAAUACUAUUUAAAUAAAGAAAUAAAAACGAGUGUAAGCGGCAUAUAAAAUAUUUCAACGGAGGUCUAUUAGUGUAAUUUACCCUUAUUUAUUUUAGUUAAAAAGGUUCACCAACCACGAAAAGUACAAGCUAGAAAAAAUACAAAAUUAUAAUAAGCAAUUAGAACCCUAACAAAAUACCUAAAAGAUCCGUCAAUAUUAAGAAUGUUCGUGUUGCGGUUGGAUUCGGUUUUAAGGUUAAAAGACAUCUGAGCCGCAAGAUAAAAAAACAUGUAGUUUGGUUUAAUUCGGUUGAUUUUUAAAAUAAAAACCAACCCAAACCAAACCAAUGCGGUUUGAGUUGAUUCGACUGUUCUGGUUUUUUUGAGACAAUACAAUAUUUUGUAUCCAACGUUAAAAUCAAGUUAAAAAAAUAAAAACAACUUAUUUCCUACCAUUAUUUUAUCAAAAUAUACCAAAUUAAAAACAUAGACAAAAAAACAACCCCUUUUUAUAAGAAAUACAAAAGAUUUAAGUAUUUAUCAUUUUCUAAAAAUUUUCAUUGAGUUCCUAUAAUUCAAGAUAUAUCUAAUAUAAAGAUAUAUGCAAAAGUGCAAGAAGAAUUAAAUUAAAGCACGUAAAUACAUUUUUUAAAUCAAAAGCAUAGAAGAAACCUAACAAAAUAAAAUUAUACUCACUCCAUUUCAAAAUGAGUGUCGUUUAAGUUUUUACACACAUAUUAAAAAAUGUAUUAAUUAAAAUAAAGAAAGAUGUUAUUUUACCAAAUUGUCCUAAUCAACUAUUGGUUUGUUUUUCAUUAAAGAAAAAAAUUAAUACUUUGAAAGUAGUGUAUAUAGUAUUAAUUGAAGGGUACAAUUGAAAAGAAAAAAUUAUUAUUACAUUGAAAAAUGAAAAAGACAUUCAUUUUGAAACAAUUUUUUGGCUAAAACGAUAAUCAUUUUGAAACGGAUGGAAUAGUAAAAAAAGACAAAAACCAUGCCAUUCUAUAAAAUUUCUCAUUGAAUUUCUACGAGUACUAGGUUGGGUGACAAAAGUUUAAUUAGUGUUUUUCUUAUGUUACGGUUUGGUUGAUAAAAUUAAAACCGCAAACUAAACAAAACUGUGCAGUUGGUUAAAAAUGAUCCAAAUACAUCUGAACUAAAUGCAGUUUUUUUGGGUUUGCGGUUUGAGUUGAUUCGGUUUGCUGUUUUUCAAUCAGAUUAGUUUGGUUUACGGCUUUUCAAUUAGAUUGCUUCAAUUUACAGUUUUUUUAUUGGGAAAAAUUUGCUCAUGAAGUUUUUUUUUAUCUUCGAUACUCUUCACAAAUCGUGCUCAUGGCCUCAAUUUAACCAUGCAGCCUGCCAUGAAGUUCUUGGAAAGUCAUUAUUUCUUGUGGGGGAGAUUGGAGGCAACGACUUCAAUUAUCCUUUACAUAUACGACAGAGCAUAACAAAGCUUAAAGAAUAUGUACCACAUGUAAUCAAUGCAAUAACUUUAGCAAUUAAUGUAAGAUUAUUUUCUUUUGCAAAUUCUAUUAUAUGACUAGACCUAUUUGAGUUUCAAUUUUCUUCAAAGCAUAAUUAUGAAGUCUUUUGUAUUUUAUGUCUUCGCAGGAGUUGAUUGAUCUAGGGGCACGCACGCUUAUGGUCCCUGGAAAUUUCCCAUUGGGAUGUAGUGCAGUCCAUUUAACAACGUAUGAAACCACGGAUAAGAACCAAUAUGACUCAUUUGGUUGCUUGAAGUGGUUAAAUGAAUUUUCUGAAUUUUAUAACCAGAAACUCCAACAUGAGAUACAUAGGCUUCGAGUAAUUCAUCCUCAUGCUAAUAUCAUCUAUGCUGAUUAUUACAAUGCAGCAUUGCCAUUAUAUCGUUAUCCCAAAAAAUAUGGUAAUUCAACUAUCUCAACUCUUUAUAUUGAAUUAUAACAUUUUUAAAAAAAAGCUCUCUAAACUCCUUUAAUAUAUUAGUUCAGUUGCUAUGAAUAUUGUAUAUUAUAUAUAGGGGCUGGGGUUCGAACUCCGGACACCCCACUUCUCCACAUUUAUAUGUGUGAGCUCUAGCCAUUAGACUACUUGACAAAAAAAAACUUCGUUUUAAUCAUGCGUACUAUAAUGUUUCCAUAAAAAAAAAAUUAUGCUUAUUGUAUUAAAAUUUGAAGUCCCGCUUGUUAUCCAACUAUGUUUGUUGGUUAGUUAGUUAGUGACCUGUAGUGCAAGUAACUCUACUUAGCCUAUAAAUACUUGUUUUGUAUUCAAUAGAUAUAUCUCGUAUCUUGUAUCAUAAUGACAAUGCAAUACAAUUUAUAGUUUUACAAUUCACCAUAAACAAAACUCUAUUCAUCCUCAUUAUUCUCAUCACAUAACAGAACAUUUGGAACUAUCUCUUUUCUCUCAUCAGUGAGUGUAAGCAAGGAGCUUGCAUCAACAACGCUGACUAGAGAUAAUAUGUGGAAAAACAUUAUAAAGAAUGUACAUCUAUUUUGUUGAUAUCUUUAUAUCUUACAAGAUAAUUUUGUAAAGUUGAAUUAGGUAGAGUAUAUGAUAAGUAUGAGAUAAUAGUAGAGCAUAUAAUAGAUUUAGUGUGUGUCAUUUAAUGAUCUAUGUGUUAGGAAGAAGGGAAUUAUUACUAUCUCAAAUUUUAUACAACUUAUAGAUUUCUUCACUCUCACAAACCAAAUAUUUAAACUAAGUCAGAUAUAAUCUUAAAGUGCUACUGACCGGUGCAUCAAAAACAAAGAAACUAGGUUCAAUAUAUAGCAUUGGUCUUCCCCUUGCUUCACCAAACUAAGCGAUGUGAGAUUUCUCCAAUAGCUAAUAUUUUUCAAUCUCCUUCUUUAUUUAAGAAACUUGACAAUCAAACCCAACACUAUGUGCCAAGCUCAAUAGUUUUUGAUGUAUUGCGUAAACUCCAAGUGUGAUGAGUUUUUAAAGUUAGUCUAGGACAUUGUUUAAUAACUAUUGUCUAUGUAAUGAGAUUUUUUUACUUGAUUUCAUUGCAGGUUUUACAGGACUCAAAGUAUGUUGUGGAAUAGGAAGUCCAUACAAUUACAAUGCAUCAAACAUGUGUGGUAAACCAGGCGUACCUGCUUGUGAUGAUCCUUCUCAGUAUAUUACAUGGGAUGGUGUUCAUUUUACCGAGGCCGCAUAUAGAUUAAUUGCCAAUGGCUUAAUUAAAGGACCAUAUUCCGUCCCUCAAUUGAGUAACCUGUGUUUCAUGAAUGUAAGCUAUGGAUAUGGAUAUGGACAUUUCAAUAGCUAGAGUGUGAAAUUAUGUAUUGACAUAAUCAAUAAAUUAUGGUCAUUAAAUAUGAAGUUAUGUAUUGACAUAAUCAAUAAAAGUGAAAUUGUUAUAAAUUAUUAUAAUUAAUAUAAAUAAAAAUUAUGGUCUAAUCUUGUUAAGCACUAAUAUUGAUGAACUCUUUGAUUGGGCGUUGUUUAUGAAUGGACCUGAUGAGCUGGACCAUUCUAUUUAACUCAAUGAGAGGUUCGUGUCUUAAGUUGUUUAACUAUUUAAACAGCACUACUCAAACGAUUAAUUAAGCACAUGGAGAAAACCUUACAUGUUAACCUAGACGGCAAUGAGGGUAGUCAAUAUUCUCACCGAUUGUCUCUAGAUUUCUGGCAAUUCUCGUUAAUCUUCCACCAAAGCUGCCACUAAUACAUACAUUACACCAGACAAGGCAUACAUAUCAUUCAAGCAUAGAUAUACAAAACUGAAUUUUCACAUUAUAUUUGAAUUUCAAAAAUAACAAUCAUCAAAGUUGUAUUUGAAUUUCAUAUUGUCAUACUUUUUGGGUUGUUCAAUGUAUAUAUAUGAUUGUCCUUGUUGUUAAAGCUCAGUGUUGGGCUAUGAAAACAACAUAUAUAUGGGCAUGUCAUAAGUUGCUUCCAUAAGUUCUUUGAAACAAUCUUACAAGAGUUUAUAUGAGUAGAUAAACUCAAAUAGCUAAAUCGUAACAGGCCCUAAGUUUGUUUUGAGAAACCAAGGAUUAAUUGUAUUUCUUUACUCUCCAGUUUAAGUUAUUUUCUAAUCAUUGGUUAGUUUACGAGUUUAUGCCGUAUUUGAUUGAUUUACGGGCAGUAACAAUUUUGGUUCCUGGAUGUUUGCCACAUUGAUGCAAUCCAGCCUAUUUAACAAUGUUUGCAACUGAAGAUGAAGAUGAGUAUGAUCAAGCUGGAUGUUUGACAUGGUUAAACAAGUUUUUUGAAUAUCAUAAUGAGCUGCUUCAAAUCGAACUAAAUAGGCUUCGAGUCUUGUAUCAUUUUGCUAAUAUCAUCUAUGCAGAUUAUAUUUCAAUAUGCUGCAUUGCAGUGUUACAAAUCUCCAGAACAUUUUGCUAGUAUGUCCUCUAAUAUUCUUAGCUUUUUACGUCACAACUAUUAGAUAAUAGUUAUAUAUUAUGUAAGAGUGGUUUGGUAUUUUCUGAUCUCUAGUUUUUUAUACUCUAUUUUGACUCUUGUUUCAUCAGCUUUGCUCAUUAUUCUAUUGAAACCCUAAAGAGAAAGGGUGAUUUCUCCUUUGGUCUUCUUCUUACUCAUCUCUUUUUUCUAUAUGUUCACAAUUGCUAACAUGAUUUGAGAGUCGGGUUAUGGAUUGCAAUGUGGGAAUUGAAUUCAAGCCCACGGUAGGGAUGAAGGGUUGGUAUUGAAGUUGUUUGUAGUUUGUUUAGUCUCACUUUGUUAAGGUUUUCGGGUUUAUCGGGUAUAUAAAUGUACAUGAACACCCUCGCUCUUUGAGAUAAUUUUGUUAAGAGUCCCACAUCGGAUAGGACAUGACCUGACAAUAUGUUUAUAAGUGGGGGCAAUCCUCACCUCACAGGUUGGUUUUGCCUGGGCUCUGACACCACUAUUAUAAAUGGUGGUUGGGUCUAACACAACCUCACAAAAGGUCAUGUCUUAUCCGAUGUGGGAGUCUUAACAAAUUUUUAGGCUUGGAAUGCAAACCCAUUUAACAACAACAAUGUGUUCGUGUUGCAAGUGAGCAUAAAAUUGAACAUUAAUGGUUUGUUUCGAAUCAAACUGGUUCAAUUUUAUGCUCACGAGCUGAAAAUACCUUUACGAAAAAAACCAAAUUUUGCCUUUUCGAUUUGAACUGAUUCUUUUGUGAACCCAACUAUACCAAAUUGUAAAACAAUUUUUUUUAGCAGCCUUGAUAUUCAUGUGUUACUUAAUCGUUAGUACUUCUUAGAUAACAUGAAUCAAGAGUCUACAAUGAAACUUAGUUCGGGUUGCUUUUACAUUUAGUGUUAUUGUCUAGAGAACCUCUAUGUCAUAUGAUUUUUUGGUAUGCCACCAAAUCAUUGAAUAGUGAUACAAGAAUUUGUGUCAAUGUUGUCUAAGGGUUUGAUGGAAUUUGGAAAUGCUUUUAAAGUUUGUUGUGGAGAUGGAAGUCUUGAAAAUUGCAAUGAUACGGCACUAUGUGAAACACAUAGGUGAUUUGCAUGUGAUGAUCCUUCAAAAUAUGUCAGCUGGGCACACUUGCUUGGGUACUCACCCAAAUAAAAAUAUUUCCGCACACACAAAAUUAAGAAAAAAAUUGAAAAUAAAAUAAAAUUGCAAGAUAUCAAUUCAUGUGACUAAAUACUUUUUAUUUAAUUUUGUUAAUUUCAUACGAGUGUGCCCAAAAAAAUAUUUAUUUCGGGUUGUGUUCAUGAAAGACCGCAUAUAGAUGAAUGACCAGGGGUUUAUUAGAUGGACACCACACCAUUCCUAUGUUAAUUGUAAAAAAAUUCAAUAAAAUAGUAAUGUUGAGAAACCGUUUUGUUUGGACGCUUCAAUAUUUUUUGGUAGUGAGCGAAAAUGUGAAUCACUUCAUAUAUAAAAUCAAUAUCUAAGGGCACAGCAUAUUGAAAGCUUAACCGCAUAAAUUGAGUUUUUUAAGGGAAACCGCAUAAAUUGAGUGUUAGGCCUUGCACAAACUAGUCCCUGUAACUUUUUACAUCUCUUGUUCACCAAAGUUCAUCUUCAUUGAAACACCAUGAAGUUCAAUAUCAUCCUAAUCCUCAUCUCCUUCACAUUUGGUUUCCCUGAAAAAGUUAUUUCAAAUCCUACUCCUCGUCCAUUUGAUGCUAUUUUCAACUUUGGCGACUCUUUAAGUGACACUGGCAAUUUCCUUGCCACUGGUGCCAAUUUAUUCCCAGCCGUAGGUCAUCCUCCUUAUGGUGAAACCUUCUUUAGAAAUGCAACUGGUCGUUGCUCAGAUGGACGACUAGUGAUUGAUUUCAUAGGUAUGUAGUUCUAUAUACGUGACUAAACGAUAUUGCUAAGAAUCACAAUCAAAUGUGGUUGAUGCGACCUCAUUUGAGGUUGUGUUUUAAUCAAAGAGAAAUAGAAAAUCUCGAUAUUGAAGUUUAGAUUGUAGCAAUAGACCUUAUUUUAUUGAAGUUUGACAAUUAUAGUGUUAAUAAUUUUCAAUAAUGGUGAAUUUUGGUUGCAGCUGAGGCAUACGGAUUACCAUAUUUGCAACCAUAUCUGAAAGUAAUCAAAAGCAAUCAAAUCAUCCGCAAUGGAGUAAAUUUUGCAGUCGCUGGAGCCACAGCGCUUGGUGUAGAAUUCUUCAACAAAGAAAUGGGAAAAUUGCUAUGGACAAAUCAUUCAUUGAACAUUCAGCUUGGCUGGUUCAAGAAGCUGAAGCCUUCCUUUUGUACAACUAAACAAGGUAACAUAUAACAUUCAUUGACCAUCCCAAAUGAAACCAUUGUAUGAAAUUUUCCAAUAACAAAACUUUUUUUAAUCCUCUGCUAUGUCACAGAUUGUGAUAGCUACUUCAAAAGGUCACUCUUCGUGGUGGGAGAGAUAGGUGGUAAUGAUUAUAACUAUGCUGCCUUUGCUGGAGAUAUUACUCAUCUUCGAGACACCGUUCCUUUAGUUGUUCAAACAAUAGCAAAGGCCAUUGAUGUAUGUUUUAUUGCAUCCAACAUAAUAAUGCAUUUAUAUGAAUUAGCCUUUAUUUGAUCAGAAAUUGAUGUUGGUAAUAACAUUCACACAAUACAUUGUUAGCGCAGCCUCUAUGCUUGUUUCACAAGCUAGGUUUUUUUUUGAGUUUUUGUUUUUAUUGGAUUUGAGAGAAUGAGAAGAAUAGAGAAGGAGAAGAAUUGAGUUUUAUGAAAUUGUGAAUUCAUUGAUUGGUGAAUCACAAAUAAGCAAAAAUAUAACAAACUUGUAACCAACUAAACUUAUUGUGAUUACUAAGUGAUCUUAAUCAAACAACCUUGAUUAAAUCACUAAACAGAUAUUCUAACUUGAAUUAACAAAACUAAUAUACACUCAAUUAAUUAUUGGCUAGGAAUUGAUUGCUGAAGGAGCAGUGGAGCUUUUGGUGCCGGGAAAUUUGCCUGUUGGAUGCAAUGCUGUGUACCUAACUUUGUUUAGUAGCAAGAACAUAUCAGACUAUGAUGAAAAUGGAUGUUUAAAAGCUUUCAAUGGUUUAGCAAAUUACCACAACAUGCAGCUCAAUUUUGCCUUACAGACACUAAGGACCAAGAAUCCUCAUGCAAGAAUAAUGUAUGCUGACUAUUUUGGUGCAGCAAUGCGUUUCUUCCAUUCACCAAGACAAUAUGGUUAGUUUAUUUUCAUGGCUUUAUCUAAUGUGUAUAAACAAACCGGUACUGUAUUAUGCACAAACUUAUUUUACACCAUUUGAUUACUUAAUCUCGUCAUAUUUCUUUUGUCUUUCUUUUCCCGUUCCUAUUCAAUAUGGCAAUGCAAAAUUAUAUGGUAUCACUUCUUUUUCAGGAAUGAUUUGUAUAACUUGUUAAAAGCUACCAAAAAAAAUUUGACGUCAAAACUUGCUUAAAGCUACCAAAGUGUUUCACGAAAAAAAUUUGAUCUUAAUUUAGUCUCUAAUACAGCAAACAAAAAUUUAGUGUCUCUGAUACAACAAACUAAAAUAGACAUAUUUUUUUAUGUAUUUCUCUAGGAAUAUCUUCAUAUGUUCAUAAACCUACCUACAAUAACAAUUGUCGAUCUUUAGAAGUAUCAUCAAUGUGUUCAUAGAAAUAGAUUGGAUAAGACUAAUUUUCUUUAUAAAAGUUACCUACAUUUGCAUUCUUU